AAGGGGUGAAAAGAACAAAGUUUUGUCCAUCUUUGUUCAUCAUAGCUGAAAGUUAGAGAAGAGAAAGGAGAGGAGAAAGCUCUUGAGUAUUCGGUCAUUAGGAGGAGGAAAAUUGAAGGUAAGUUCUUGGUACCUUGCUUCUAUUUUGAGGUUCAUGAGUUCUUCUUGAUUCUACCUUAACUCUUGAAGUAUAUUUUGAUUUUUAGUUGUGUUGUGAGCAUUUAGUCAUGAAUUAAAAUGAAGGAAAUGGUUGUUGUUUCAUGUUCUUUUGAUGAAAAAUGGAAGAUAGGUGAAGUUGAGCCAAACAAAUGAGCAUGCAUGUGCCUUAGAUGUUAAAGGGAAAAAUCAGCUAACAUGUUGUGCUUUAAAAUGAUGAAAUGGAGAUUAUACUUAAGUAAAAUCAUAGAUAUGUGAUGAUUGAUUGGUGAUAUACAUGUUUAAAUAACAUGCAUGCAAGGUAUGUGUGAAAGAGUGAUUUGGUAAUAAAUCUGCUUGGGGCAGCAGCAGUAACGUGACUUUGGAAAAUCACCAUAAAUUGUGGGAGAUGAAUUAGAAGCUGAAUAAAUCAUGUAAUUAAAUUCUAUUGAGUCUAGUUUCAAAUGAAAUAAACGAGAACAUAUUUUGAAUUCUGUACAAUGAGAAAUUUGAUUCGUAAUGAAGAGUGGUCAGAUUAGUCAAAUAGUGAAACAUCCGAAACUUUGAGAAAAAUCUGGUAUUGAUUGGCAAAACAAAAAAUUCUGAAAAUUUUAUGGAUAUAAGAUAUAUGAGUCUAUUUUCAGGGAAAAUUAACGGCACUUGAUUUGGAGUUUCGUAGCUCCAGUUAUAAAUGAUUUAGUGACUGUUGCUCAGGAAGACAGCUUGCAGUGAAAUUAUGAUUAUGUGGUAAACAUUGACAAAAAUUUGUUAAUGAGUUGCUUAUUGAUUUCUUAUAAGCUUACUAUGAUUUGUAGGUGUGGUUGGCUGAAUAUUGUAAGGGGUUAAUACGUAGUUUGUAUUCGAAUAGUUAGAUUAACGUGUUAGUAAUCCAAUUGUAGGCGGUUCGUGUGUGGAUCUCGUCAGUAUAUCGUCGCAAACAGGUGUGUAACUAACACCCUCUUUCUUAGUCUAGAUCGGCAAAAGUCGAAAAGCCGAAAUGCCGAAAACCGGUAUUUUGUAGAUUUGCGAGUGUGCGAAUGCUCGCGAGGUAAAUCGAUUAAUGUUUUAGGUAAGUUGCAAUGUUUUGACUACAAAGUGCAUGAUUUCUGUGCCCUCGAUAUUUUUGGGCUUAAUGGGCCAAAAUUGGAAUGAUGGGCCAACGGGCCCAAUUCGGUAAGAACCCUCGGUACGUGAUUCUGUUAGUACGUGAAAAGUAGGAAUAUGCAUGAAAAACUCUAAAAUAGAUAAAUUACUGAAAUACCUUUAAAAGUGGAAAAUUUACAGUUUUACCCCUAGUAGAUAAAUUACCGAAAUACCCCUAGGGUUAAAUUGACCUAAAUGCAUGUUUGACUGUUGUUAUUUACUGCAUGCCAUGUUGUUAUUAUCUAAUGCAUGGGACUGGGAUAUUGAUGGAGGAAGUACUGAAAGUGGCUUGUCCACGUACUGGAGGCUUUGCCCUAAUUUACUGUUAACUGAGCAGCAAGGCUGCAACUGUGGAGUGUUGGGCUGGGUGGGUUGGGCUAUUCCCCACAUGGAGUGUAUGGCUGGUACGGGUGGAGUGUAGUGGUUGGUGGGUUGAGUAGUCUCCCCAAAUGGGCUUGCAUAUGUUUACUGAUGUUGCAUGUAUUUUGAAAUGGGCCUAUGGGCCAUACUGUUAUCUAAAUAAGGGGCUAAGGCCCAGUUUAUUGUAACCUGAAAAGGGCUCUGCCCCAGUACCACUGUUACCUGAAUGGGCUUAGGCCCAAUAGGCUUGAGCUGACUUGGGCUUUGAAUGGGUUUUCCUUACACACUGAGUUUCCCCAAACUCACCCCUUUUAUUUUCAUCCACGCAGGAAAUCCCCAACCAUAGUGGGCUUGGAGCUGUGAGGAAAUUCGGAUUGGCCACCCGUUCUGAAAGUUUGGUUUUCUUCUGGUGAACUGGACAUCCUUUUAUUUACGUUUGAAGUUUUGGGUUUUUAAAUGUAAUAAGGCCGCUUAAUUAUUUUUAAUGGUUUUAAUAUGUAUUACUAAGAUAGGUAUUACUUAUUUUAACUGUUGAAAUUGGAUAGCUUUAGGGCGCGUUUUCAAAAACAACAGUUGAUUUCAAAAUAACACGACAACAAGCAAAGCUUCCGCAAUGAAAGUAUUUUCCAAAAUUAAUCACUUUUCCUAAAAAUGACUUAAUCAAAUCAGUUUCCUAGAAAUAUCCAUGAUGUUAAGGUGUGGCAAUGGCGGUAUGCAUGUCUAGGAUUGGAUCCGAAGGGAGCUUGGUAUUUAAGCAGUCCGAUGGACUCACCACCUCUUUUCCGGUUUCCUACCUAGUGCACAGCUUCCAUUCACUUUAACCUAUAAUGAAAUUAUCUUUUAAAACACUAAGUAGGUUUUUUUCUGGAUCAACAAUAUAAAAUGUUUUGAACGCUUCGAUGUGGCAUGUCGGAUCCGGCCAUAACGUCUGGGCCGGGUUUGGGGUGCUACAAAAUUUCUAGAAAAUGAAUGAAAAAAAUAAAAUUACAUAGUUUUUUGCCACAAGGCAUUUCUUGGGUCUUCAAUUGCCAUCGCUCCAUCUUCUCCUUGUCAUGUACUCCUUUUGAUUAAUUACAUUUAAAUCCAUGUUCGUUUCUAGCUCACAAGAAUUCUAUGAAUUUUAAAAAAUAGUCCUAUGUCUAUUUCCUAAGAAUCACAACCUUGACAAUAAAAAAUAAUUAUAUAACAAAUAUAUAAUAUCGCACCCAUUCCCAUAUAUAACUCAAAACAUGCAUAAGAUCUAAAGAACUUCACUUUCUAUGUAAUCAAGUCAUUCAAGAAGAAGAGAAAUGUAACAGCCCGAUUUAGACCCUAAUCGAAACGGUAGUUUCGAGACCACGAAUCCGAGUUAGAAAAAUAUUUUAAUAUUAUUUUCCAUGCUUAUAAUAUGUGAAUUGAUAUCUGUGAAAGUUUCGUGUGGAAAUUUUAUUAUUUGUGUGCUUAAUUUGAAAAAAAUGACUUAAUCGCGUAAAAUGUAAAAGUGGCUAGCCAUUUGUUAAAAGUGCCUAUUUGCUUUUAUUAAAUAAAUUUAAGAUCCUUAUGAUGAAAUUGAACCAUUAUAAAGUUAGUGGAAUUAAUGGUUUGGCAAAGUUCUUAAAUGGAUUAUUUUUAAAGGUUAGUUUUGUAAAUUAGUAAAAUAAGUUAAUAAAAUAAAUCAAAUGCAUGAAAAUAAAGCCAUUAUCACCUUUGUUUUUGCCGAAAAUCAAAAGAAAGGAAAAGAUGAAAGCUUGUUGAACAUUCGGCUAUGGUUAGCUUGAGUUGGUAAGUGAAUUUUGUUCGGUUUUUGAUAAUUUCUAUGUUUUUGUGAUCGUUGCUUCGAAUACUAGUAAACCCAUGCUUCAAUUUUCGAAUUUGAUGAUGAAUUGGAGAAUUGCUAUUAAUGAUAGCUUGAUGUUUUUGUUGUUUGAUGAUGAAAAAUGAAUAUUUGUUGAUAGAUUAUUAUGUUUAAUUAAGUGGUUUUUGAUAAAAAUCCAAAUUUGGGAUUAAAUUGUGGAUUUUGUAAAUUAAGCGGUCAAAAUGUGAAAUAAAUGAAAGAAAUGGGCUGUUAUGAACCUUAGAAGCCUUAGAAAAAUUCAACUAUACUAGAGUUUAGUGAAAGUAUGUGUAUUUUGUGUUUUGUGAAAUAGGGACUAAAUUGCGAAAAAUGUGAAAUGUUAGGGGCAAAAUUGUAAUUAGCCUAUUUAUGUGUUUUUGGAUGAAUUUGAUUGAAUAUAUGAUUAAAUAAGUUGAAUUUGUAUUGAAUUAGAUCAAGAAAUGUAGAAAUCGGAUUUGGACCGGGGAAAAACCAAAGUUGUCGACUAGUUGUCUCAUCCUAAUUACCGUUGUCUGAGGUAAGUUUACAAGCAAAUAAACAUACUUAAUUUUAAUUAAUACAAAGUAUAUAUGCUGAAAUGAAAUAUAUGAAUUAAUAUAUGCUAAUGCUGAAUGUGUAUAAGCAUGGUAACUAUGUUCAUGCAUUCGUUUCGACUGAGCUAUAACAUUUGAAAGUCCGUAUAAACUAUAUGGAAUAUUUGGAAUUUUUGAUAUAUGAAUUGUUUACGAGACAACUUUAUAAUAGUGAUAUUCGGGCUUUGAGACUAGCAAGCCUUGUGCUGGUGAAUUAAAUCGGGCUUAUGCCUAGCAGGCUUAUUGUCAGUGUAUAAAAUCAGACUUUGAGUUUAGCAGGCCUUGUGCCGGUGUGAGAUUCAGGCUUAGGCCUAGCAGGCUUUAUGCCAGUGAAUUAUUAUAAGUUUAUGCCUAAAAGACUUUAUGCUGAUGUGGUAAUUGAAUACGUUAAACGAGCUAAAUGAUUAGGUAUGAGUUAGCUUUUUGUUUACUUGAAAAUAAGGUAAGCUGAUUAUUUGAUAUGUGAUACAAACAUAUGUAUGAUGUUAGUCUGAAAUUUGUGAGUAAUUGUGAAAUAUAUUCAGCCAAAGUUAAGCAUAAUUAUGUGGUAUAAAGGUUUGAGACAUGAUUAUAUGAAAACAAGUGUUUAAAGAUUCGACUUUAUGCAUUAAUAAUAUGAUUUUCAUAGUGUAUGACAUUUUGGUAUAGAUACAUGUAUAUUCGGCUACACGAUAAGUGUAAUUAUGAGAUAUUAAAGUUUGAUUCAAGAAUAUAUGUUUGUGGGUGUGUAUAUUCGAUUAUAUAAUGGUAUUAUGGUUUUGAAAUUGAAUGUUACAUUGAUAAUAGUUAUAGUACAUUCGUUCAAAGGUUACGUAUAGUGAUAUCAUAUUGUGGCCUAUGUGCAAAUUUAUAUAAAUGAUUAUAUAUUGCCUAAAUGAUAUAAAGAAAGAAUAAUGAUAAGUGAUUCAUGAAUAUAUGUAUAUGAUUUUAUAUAUUUAUUCAGUUAAUUAUUGAUAAUGUGGCUUUGAAAUUUGAAUGAUAUAUAUAUUAAUAUUAGUUGUAUGGAUAUUUGGUAAAAGUGAAAGUAUAUGUAUUAUAUGAAAUUAUAAGUUUGAAGUUAAAUGUGAUUAUGAUAGUAUAAAUUGGUUUGGUAAUUAAAUCGAUAUUGACAAUGAGUUAUUUAUUUGCUUAUAGCUUACUAAGCUCUCAAAGCUUAUUCUGUGUGUUUUUCCUAUGUUUAUAGAUUUUCAGAGAUCUGCUCGAGUUGUAAGUCAGUGGAGAUGACAUCACACUAUACGGUUAUCAUUUCAGUAAAUAAUAUUUUAAGGCUCGGUUAUGUGGCAUGUAUAGGCUAGUCUUGAAGUUAAUUGUUUUGAAUGAGUAUGUAUUAAAGCCAUGCGAAAGUGGCUUAACUACCUUGCUUGAAAUCAGUUACGUUAAAUUAUGGUUUGUGUUCAUUUUAGUUAUAAUAUUAGGUGCUAUGGUUGAAUAAUAUUUGUGAUAUGCUUUUUUGUGCAUUGAAGUUGAUUGGUGAGCUGGAUGUGGUUUGAAUGAUUCGACCAUGGUAUAUAGGUAAGUAUGAAGUAUAUUUGUUAUGUUACUUUUGGUUGAAAUGCUUCGGUUAUGACUUGUAAUGAUAGUAAUAACCUCAUUUAGUUGACUAAUACAUUCAGUUAAAUGAUAGUAAGAGAUAUUGACUAUAAUUGACUAUUAGUUCGGCACAUAUAUAUAUAUAUUCAUGUGAAUUACGGUAGUUUAUAUGAUAAGGGAUGUGUUAAUAUUUGGUCUUGGACUUAUGUUAAAAAUAUAUCCAAGGUAUUAUAAUGUUUAUGAAGUUGUUUAUGUGUUUCAGCUACAUGAUAUAUAAUGAUUGUUAAAUGAGCUAAGUAUAUCACCUACUAGUUAGGUGACAAUUAAGAUACAUGCAUAGGGUAUAUUCAGUGUUCCCUUAUGGUUCAGAAUAAUGAUAUAUAUAAUUCAUGAAUUGUUUAUUAUGGUAAAAGAUAUGUGCUAAUUUAAUCAGAAAUGCUUUGUUAGUUGAAUUUAUAAAUGUAUAUGUAUAAAUGCACUUAUACUAUGGUUGGUAUAUGUGUAAAAUCGAAUAAUACUUGUCCUUAUGAUUCAGUUUGUUUUGGAAAUGCAUAUGCAUAUAUCAUGCUUAUAUGAUUUGUAAAAUAGGUACAAUUGAUGAAGGUAAAUAUUGAGUAUGUGUUAGGAAUGUAUUGAUAGUAAAAUGGUUAAUUAAUAAGUAACAUAUAUAUGUAUAUAUCUGUAUGCGGAUAUGCAUUUGGUAAACUUCUAACUUAAGCUGAAUGAUGGAAUUGAUAUUACUUAAAUGUUUAGUGAAAUAUUAUUGAUUAUUUAUGAAAUUGAUAAUGCCUUGUAAUAUGACUUAAUUGGUUAAUCCUUUGCAUGUAUAGAAUUAAGAAAUAAAAUCUUUAAUUUUUAUUUUAGUAUUCACUUAUCAUUAAAGUGAUUAACCUGUGAUUUAUAUAUGUAAUAUGCUUAUAUUUAAUUAAUUAUAUGCUCUACAUAUCUAUAAGAGUAUGACUUGUGAUAAUAUGAGAAAGUUCAGAAUUGUGCUUAUGUUCAGUAAUGCCUUGUGACCCUAGUCCGGCGACAGAUACGGGUUAAGGGUGUUACAAGAAAUAUAUUUUGAUUAUUUUUUAUACUUAUAGAUACAGCUCAACCUGACUCUGAUACUAAUUGUUGGAAAAUCGAGUUUAGAAAACGCAACGGAAAAUAAAUUUAAGGAAAAACCAGAGUUUUAAUUUUUUUUUCACAACAAGAACUUAGUUGUGAUAUCUAAAGUAAUAAACACUUAAUCAAAACUAUACAUUUUCGAUUUGUCUAGGAUGAACACUUCGAUCGAGAAAUCUUCUCCAUUAUCCUCAAGCUCACAUCUACCAAGUGUGGGCUUGUAACAACCCAAACCUGGCUUAGAUAUUAUGGCCGAAUCCAAGAGUGUCACGAAAAAGGGUUUGAAACCGAUGAUACUUCAACAAAACGUCCAAGUUUAAUAAAACAUAUUCAUUUAUAUAUUUAUUAAUGACCGUUACAUGUUAUCCUUUAAGCUUAACCAAAUCAUUUCACAGCGGAAGUUUGAAAACCCGUUUAAAUCAAAACCAUAACAUUUGUUUGCAUAAAAUCGAUAAUUUGUCGAAUCGUCACAGUGUAGAAAUUAUAAUGCAACCAAACCAAAAAAUUAAACUAAACAGUCCAAAAAGACCAGAGAGUCCAAAAAUUACAAAACUCUCGCAAAAACCGGAAUUUCAGUAAAAACCAUUAAAUUAUAAUAAUGAAAACAAUUUUUCGUCAAGCGGUCACCGUUGAGCCUCCGUCGCACUGACCCGCCUAUGUCUGUAAAUUACUUGAACAACACAGGUGAAACAGAUGUGAUUUUUCGUAAACUGAGUGUGUAACCCAACAGAAAUAUUCAUGCAACAUACACAGUAUUUGAUAUACAAUCAUAUACAGAUUCGGACCUAAGCCUAUAAUAGAUACAAAUAUUAGAGUCAGAUUAACAGAACAUAUAUACCGAAUCCUACCCCCAUCAGAUUAACAGAACAUAUAUACUGAAUCCUACCCUCAUCCUCUACACACCAUCUCUAACCAUUCCAUCACACCAUGUGGGGUUAAAAACACCCACCCAUCCCUAUACACCAUAUAGUGUUGAUGCGAUACAUAAUAGAUAAUAUGCAGUCAAGUUGCCAGAAUAUAGACGAAAGGUCGCCAUACAGAUCACUUCCUCCACAUAUACAAAUCCCACCCCAAACACAGAUACAGAAUAAAGAUGCCAAAAUAACAUAAUAAACAUGCUUAACAUGCUCGUAUAUAGAUAAAUACAUACUUAAUAAUACAACUAGACAUACAUAUCAAUUUCCUACUCAAAUCAGUCUAUCAGAGUAUCAGAUCACAUGAAAUAAUGUUUGGUUAGCCCUUACCGACCCUACGGUAGGCCCACAAUUGAUCGGAAUGACUCGUCUGACCCUAGAGAAAAUUUCAAAAUUCUGGGGCUAUAUGCUUAUAUGGCCCACACGCUUAGAAUUGCCUUGCCUAUGUGGCCCACACGGCCUGACCCAAACCCACACGCCCGUAUGGGCCAUACGACCACACCUUCACCAGCCACAUGACCGUGUCUCGCACAUGGCCAGCCACACGGUCGGGCACACGGCCAUAUGGCAUUGAUAGUGCCCAAAUAUUUCUCCCAGUUGAUUCAAACUGUAAAACACAACAUCGGAACAUAUCUUCGAGAAUCUGAAUUACUCUCUCAGACUGACCGUCGGUUUGUGGAUGAAAUGCAGUACUAAAUUUCAACUUCAUACCCAGGGCUUCUUGCAAUUUCUUACAAAAUCUCCACGUGAACCUCGUAUCUCUAUCCGAAAUAAUCGAAACUGACACUCUGUGCAAUCUAACAAUAUCAGAGAUGUACAAUUCAACCAAUUUAUCAAGUGAAUAAUCAGUACGUACUAGUAUAAAAUGUGCCAAUGUCAUUAAUCUAUCAACUACAACCCAAACAACAUCUUUCAUUUUCGAAGUCAGGGGUAACCCCAAUACGAAAUCUAUCGUAACUCUAUCCUAUUUCCACUCUGGUAUUAUCACUGUCUGUAGUAAUCCCAAAGGCACUUGAUGCUUGGCUUUCACUUGCUGACAAAUCAAACACCUUAAAACAAAUUCUGAAAUAUCUCGUUUCAUGCCCGACCACCAAUAUAACUAUUUCAAAUCAUUGUACAUUUUGGUACUCUCUCGGUGAACAGAUAAACAACCAAAAUGCGCUUCGUGCAAAAUUUUCUGAAUAAGCUCAUAAUUCUUUGUACAAAGAUUUUAUUUUGGAACAUUAAACAAUCAUCAGCUUUGAUCUGAUAAUCUGAAUCACUAUUCGACUUACACUGCAUUCUUUUAGCUUGCAACUUAGUAUUGCACUUUUGAGCUUCACAAAUUUGCUGAAGAAAAACAGGUUUGGCUUUCAACUUAGCUAAUAUCAAACCAUCAAAGACAUAGUCAAUCUCGUAUUCAUCGCUCUCAAAGAAAAUAGAGAUUUUUUACUUAAAGCAUCUGCGGCUACAUUUGCUUUUCCCGGAUGAUAAUUGAUUACUAACUCAUAGUCUUUUAGUAGCUCGAGCCAUCUCCGUUGUUGCAAAUUCAAAUAUUUCUGAGUCAUUAAGUACUUCAAGCUCUUGUGAUUAUUAAAGAUGCCACACUUCUCACCAAAUAGAUGAUGUCGCCAAAUUUUCAAUGAAAAAAAUAUAGCGGCCAACUCUAAAUCGUAUGUCGGAUAAUUCUUUUCAUGCAGCUUCAACUGUCUGGAGGCAUAAGCUAUCACUUUUCCUUCUUACAUUAACAUGUAACCCAAACCGUUCAAUGACGCGUCGCUAUAAAUCAUAAACUCUUUACCUGACUCAGGUUGAACCAAUAUUGGUGCUUCGGUUAAUAAGGCUUUCAAUUAAUCAAAACCCUAUUGACACUUCUCGGACCACUCAAUCUUCACAUCUUUCUGUAAUAGUCUGGUCAUUGAUGUAGCAAUCAUCAAGAAUCCUUUGACAAAAUGUCGAUAGUAACUGGCUAACCCUAGAAAACUUCUGACUUUGAAUAUAUUUCUAAGUGGUUUCCAAUGAACAACUGCAAAAAUCUUGCUCGGGUCAACUCAUAUACCUUCAACUGAAACAAUAUGCCCUAAAAAUUUGACUUCUCUAAACCAAAACUCACAUUUACUGAAUUUAGCAUACAGUUGCUUAUCUCUCAAGGUUUGUAACACAAUCCUCAAAUGCUCAGCAUGUUCAGACUCGUCUAGUGAAUAGAUCAGAAUGUUAUCAAUGAACAUAACAAUAAAUCUGUCUAAAUACUGUCUAAAGAUCCGAUUUAGUCCUUUUUACCGAAUUAAGAAUUCAAUGAUAAAAUUAUUCACGAAACUUUCACAUAUACAUGCUAUCAUCCUGUAAACAUUUAAAAUAAUAUUAAAAUAAUUUUUUGAUCUCAGAUUUGUGGUUUUGAAAUCACUAUUCUGAUUUAGCUAAAAACGGCCUGUUACAACAUCAGUUGACUGUCAGUCAAACACCGGCUAACAAAGUAACCUAUGUGGCAUGCUGACGUGUCAAAAAUAAAAAAAAUUAAAUAUGAAAUUUUAAAAAAUAAUUUUAACCCUAAAAUUAAAACCUAUCAUUAAAACCCCUAAUCUCUUAUUCCCAAAUCAUGAAAUACCUAAAACUUAUCAUCGAUGAUGAGUUUCCAACAGCUAAAAACACAAGAAGAGUGGUAGCACAAUGAGACAAUGCUAGAACAAGAACAAGACUAGCGAUAGCCAUUUUCUCCAUAGGUUGAUUAUGAGAAUGACUGUGCCCACCCUUUCUAGACAAAAAUAACAGUAUAUAGCUAUGGAAACACGAAAAUAUAUACACUUUUUCAUGCCCUUUUUAACUCAAAUUCAAGCAAUUUCGUAGUAAUUCUUGUCUAUAAAUAUAUAAUAAUUAUAUAAUAAUUAUAAAAUAAUUAAAAUGUACUUAAAUUAUUAACAUGUUGAAUUUUAAUUAAUUUUAUAAUAAAUUUUGAUUUAUUUUCGACAAAUUCGCACAAACGGUGAAAAUUGGCUUAGCAAAUACUGCUAGAAGCGCAAAACUGAGAAACAAUUUUUGAAGCAUCGAGGCAAAUUAAUUUUUCAGCCUAAGACAGUCCAAAUUAUGAAUAUUAAUUCAUAAUAUAAUUAAUUUAAUUUUAAUCUAAUUUAUUUUGGGUUAAAUAAUUAUUAGUAAUUAAUUAUGAAAAGAGGUCCAAUUGUGCUAAACUGAGAGAUUGAUCCAAUUGAGCAACUAGGCUGCCCAAAACCAUCCCAUAUGCUGACCCAAUCAACUUAUUUAUUUGAUUAUUUGGCUUUCAAAACUGCCCUUGAUGUUUCCUUGAAAUUGCAUUCAAACGCCUCCACCUAACAAGCUUUUGUAGAUUUGCCCCUAGCUAAAUUUAGCAAGUUUGAAAGCUUCAAACUUGCCACAUGUGUGGCUGGCCAUGGGGGGUUUCUAUGGUUGCUGAUUUUUGAUAUUUUUAAAAGCCUAUCCAACCUAUAAAUACCCCCUUGGCUGCUCAUUUCAAACACACCUCUCAUUCUUUCAUUCUUCACUUCUCUCUCACUUUCUCUUUUCAAAAUCCCUUCCUUUGUUCUUCUUUUUCCCUUCCAUUCCCUUCUUGAUUUCCCCUCUUGAAAAAGAGCCUUUCAACCACCUUUGGAAGCAGCAUUCAAGUGCUCGUAGAAGCCUCGAUUCAAUAAAAGCAAGCGGAGAAGGAGGAGCAGAGCAAACUAGUCAAACUUCGGAGAAACACCGGAUUUGAUUCUAGUUCCCUAUCCUAUAAUUUUUAUUGUUGUUGUUAUGAACAUGUAUAUGAAUACUUGUGAUGUUAAUAUGCUUAAUUUAAUUAAUAUGGCUUAAAUUUAAUUCGUGUUAGGUUGAUUGCAUUUCGUCCACUUAAGUUAUUAAAAAUUGUGUUUGUGUUGUUAUGGGCCUUGAUAAGUUGUUUGAUUAAGUAAAAUCAUGAUUAAGUUAUUCUUGCAUUAUAAUUGUAAGGUAACUAAUGAAUUAAUUAUUUAAUCGUGCUGAAAUUAUAAUUAAUUAACACAAUACUUAAUCAAUACAUGUUUAAUCUUCUAAGGUAGCUGAGGGUUAAAUUAGCGAUGGUAUUAGACGAUACAUUAGCAUUGGAUAACUUGCAAGAUUAUUGUGAUUAAACUGUUUAAAGGUAGGAAUACAUUGUUACCUCACUUUACAUUUUAUGUGUUUAUGAAGAUUGAUUAAUUGUUUGAAUUGGCAUUGGAAAGUGUUCAAGAGAUUAGUUAGCAAAUUACCGAGUUACCGUGAAUUUAUUCGUAACAACAUUAACAUGCGUUUAGUAAUUCUAAGUUAAGAAAUGUAAUUAAUCUAACACAAUUUUGUCAUCUUCAUUAAAAUCAUCUUUUAAAAUCGUGAAUUUUUAUUUUAUUUUAUUUUACUUAGUUAAAUUUUAGUUUUUAAUCACUUCCUCAAAAUCAAAAUAUUUUUCUUCACCAAAGUGUUUUAAUUGCAUUCAUAAAUAAAUUCUUUUCACAUUCCCUAUGGGUAUGAUAACUCGACAUUUACUAGUCACUUUAUUACUUGUUGUGAUUGUGUACACUUGCACAUUUCUGUCGUUCCAAGCUACCACCAAGAACUCUAAGCAAAAGUGAAGCAAGUUUAUACACUGUUUCUUCUCCAUUUCUAUGUCCGUAUGACAAUGGAGAAAGGAAGCCAAUGGGUGGGAAUGAAGGAAUGAAGAAGGGAAAUGGUUGCUAUGCCCCCUAUUGUUGAUAGAUCUUUGGCGUUGAAACUCUCUAUUUUUGCCUUUUUGUUCAAAGUGGAAAGGAGAUUGAUUCUGUGUGUUAUUUGUAUUCAAAAUAACUACUUUUUCUACUCUCUUUUUUUAUUUUUUUUUCUUUGAUGGAGAGCAAUGGUGAAAGAAUAAAUUUGGUUGGUGUCUAUUGAAGCUUUGGAAAAGAACAAAAAUUAUAAUACAUUUACCAAUUUCAUGGUAAGUGUUUUAGGGAUUUCAAGAUUUGAGAAUACGGGAUUAAGGAUUUUAAUGAUAGGUUUUAAUUUUAGGGUUAAAUUUAUUUUUAUAAACUAUUUAUUUCUUUUUAAUCUCAUAUUAAUUCUUUAUUUUUGACAUGUUAGCACGCAACAUAGGCUAUUUCAUUGAUCGAUGCUUGAUUGACAGUUAACUGACGUUUUCCGUUAAAUUUAGGUUGAUUUGUGAAAAAAUUGCAACGUUAAGGACAUCAAUCCAAAAAAAAAAAUCAAGGGCACAAAACCAAAAACCAUAAAUGUUGAGGGUUUUUUCAACAAUUAUGUCUUUAAAAUAUUACAUAGAAUUUUUUUCUUCCUUCUUUGGAAUCUUUGUAGGCACUAAUUCUUCUUUAGGCUUAAGGGUGCAAAAAGCCCUCAAAUUUUUUCAAAAAAAAUCAAUUAAGCCCCUACUUUUUUUACACUUAUUUGGGUACUUAAACUUUCAAAAUGCAUCAAAAAGACCAUUAAAUUUUUUCAAAAAAAAAGAAAUUAAGCCCCUGCUUUUAUUAAAAUUAUAAAAAAAUUAAAAUCAAUAAAAGCUAUAAAUAUUAUUAAAUUUUAAUAAAAAAUUCAAAUAUUAAAAAUUAGAAAAAAAAAUAUAAAAAUCGUAAAAAAUAUAAAAUUUUAUAAAAUUUUAUAAAAAUUGUAAAAAUUUAUAAAAUAUAUAGAAAUAUAAAAUAAUUAUAAAAUUUUAUAAAUUCGUAAGAAAAUUAUAAAAAAAUUUAAAGAAAUAUAAAUUUCUUAAAAAAAUUAUAAAAAUUAUUGUACCAAAAGAAGCAUUUUAUAAUUUUUCUAUAACUUUUAUUGAUUUUAUUUUUUUUAUCAUUUUUCGCUGUAUAUCACGCUAUGUUAAUACACGUGAUGACUUUAAUUGGAAAAAAACUAGGGUCAUUAAUUUUUUUUUAUGAUUUUUGUAAAAUUUUACAUUUUUUAUUUUUUUACUACUUUCAUAAAAAAUUUUAUAAUUUCCAAUAAAUUUUAAAUUUUUAUUAAAAUUUAAUAAUUUUUCUAAAAUUUAUUAUUAUUUUUAUUUUUUAUAAUAUUUUCUAAUUUUUAAUAAAAGGAGGGGCUUAAUUGUUUUUUUGAAAAAUUUUAAGGGUCUUUUUUAUGCAUUUUAAAAGUUUAAGUAUCCAACUGAGUUAAAAAAAAGAAGCAAGGGCUUAAUUGCUUUUUUUGAAGAAGUUUAAGUGUCUUUUUUAUGCAUUUUGAAAAUUCAAGUGCUCAAUUGAGUGCAAAAGGAAAAAUGAGACCUCUUUUUUUAUUAUUGUUACGUUGCCUAUGCAUGUUUUUAUGUAUUUUAUUAUUAUUAUUAUUAUUGUUGUUGUUGUUAUUGUGUAUGUUCAAUUUUAUUUGAUAUUAUAUAUUUUUACAGCAUUUUUAAUUAAUUAAUCUUUAAAUGUAUUAGAUAACCAUUCUUGAUCUAAUUUCUUUCAAGAAUAAUUUCUGACUUACUAUUAAAAAAAUUUUAAAUUGUAUGUAAUUUUUCACAUAUAAAAACACAUAAGAAUACGAAAUAAAUUAAACCUUUUUCGAAUGUUGAUGCCCUGAUUGAUUCAUAGCAAAGCAGCACGUAGAAGGAAGAUGAAAUAAAAAUGCUAAAUGAUUUUAAACAUUUAAUGUAGUUUUUUUAAUGUUAAUGUUAGAAAAUAUCAUACACCUAAUAUUAUUUUUCUUCCAUUUUUCUUUUAAAACAUUUAAUGUAAUAUAACUAAUUGCUCUAAUUGAUUGCAAUAGAUAUAAAAAAUAUAAGGGUAAUCUACAAAAAUAGUCACUUUUGUUUGCCUCAGGUUACAUUUUAGUCACUUAUGUUUGAAAUGUUACGUUUUAGUCACUUAUGUUACUAUUUUGUUACGAAAUGAUCACUCUACCAUUAAGUUCCGUUAUCUCUCUAACGGUAAUCCUACGUGACAGUCUAACUAGAUUUUAGAUGCCAACUUGGAUUUCUAAAUGGGAUAAAAAUAUAUUUUUAAUUAAAAAAUUUAAUUAAUUAAAUUUUUUAAACCUAAACCUUAACUAAAAAAUCUGUUCAUCUCCUCUUUUUUAUUUUUCUUCAGUCUCUUCUUUUUUUUCAAUGGUUUUUUUUUCAUUUGAUUGGAAAAACUAUUAUUAAGAUCAAAAUAGUUGAAAUCAAAUUGACUACUUCAUAAAGAUGGAUUCAAUGGAGGGUUCAGGUAUGUCUUCUUUGCAUUCCUUUAUCUCUUUUAUUCAAUACUGAAAAACAAAAGAUUGGAUUUUUUAUUGUUUAAUGAAAACCCUAAAUUAAAAUUCUUGAUAUGAAUAUUAACAACUAAAAGAAUUUCAAAUCAGAAAAAAUUGAUACCCACAAAGGGAUUGUGAACAAACAAGCCGAUUCAGAUAAAAAAAAUCGGAUUGAGAAACUAAUUAUUCAAGAACAUGAAGAAUUGAAAAAUACAAUGAUUAGGAACAAAAAUGAUUACCAUCUUCUUAUUUGUCGACAACCACUUCAUUUUAAGUUUUAGAACAUAAAUUUGUCGGUGAAGAAGACAUACUUGGACCCUCCAUUGAAUCCUCUUUUGUUUUCGUACAUGAAUAAAUUUUUUUGAUGAUAAUAGCUUUUUUAGUCAAUUAAAAAAGAAAACUAAAAAAAGGGGGAGAUGAACGGUUUUUUAACUAAGAUUUAGGGUUUAAAAUUUUAAUUAAUUAAAUUUAUUUAAUAAAAAUCUAUUCUCAUCCCAUUAGGAAAUCCAAGUUGGCACUUAAAAUCUAGUUGGACUGCCAGGUAGGAUUACUGUUAGGGAGAUAAAGGAACUUAGCAGAAGAGUGAUCAUUUCGUAACAAAAUAAUAACAUAAGUGACUAAAACGUAACAUUUCAAACAUAAGUGACUAAAAUGUAACCUGAAACAAACAAAAGUGACUAUUUUUAUAGUUUACCCAAAAUAUAAUACAUUAACUUCCCUUAGUUUGAAAAUAUAUAUUUUUAAAUGCAAAUUUUAUUUAAACAUAUUAUUAAAAAUAUAUAGUAAUUGCACCAAGAAUAAUAUAGUAAUUAAAACUUAAAUAAUUUAAUAUUAUUCAUUUAAUUUAUAAAAUUAUAAAUAAUUUAAUAUACAUGGAAAUUAGCUCAAAAUAAUAAUAAAAAUAUUUAAAAUCAUUAUUUAAAAAUUAAAUUAAACCAUAAUCAAUUUAAUAAAUCAAAACACUUUGAUAUACAUAGAUUAAGCAACAUAUUAAAAAUAAAAAAUGGAUGGUGAUAAUGGAUUAAAUUAGGAUAAUUGUUACACAUAUUUAUUUAAAGAAAAAUAUAUAUAAUACUGUGUUUUAAAAUUUUUAAUCAUAUUAUUUGUAAAAUGUCAAAUUUUUAAAAAAAUAAUUAUAAAUAAUUUAAUUAAUACAUGUAACAUACAAUAUGAAAAAACUAGUAUUAAUUAUUAGACUUAAUUUAAAACAAAUAUCAAAAUAUUUCAUAUAAUUACUUCAAUAUUUUAUAUUUAUUUGUUUAUAUUUUUAAGUGAUUUACUCUUAAUAUGUAUGUUCAACUAUUUAAUAAAUUUAUUUAAUUUAACAAUUUAAUAUAUUUACUCUUUAAUUUUAUUUCCAUAUAUUACAGUUUUUUUCCCUUAACCUAUGUUUCUAGUUUUUCAAAACUUUCAUAGUAUUAUAAGUUGAAAACAUUAUUUUUUUUUAUUUUAUAUGAGUUACCACCAUUAAUUUUUUGUAUUACCGAAAUUUUUUUUCACAUUUUUAAUAGGACAAAAAUCAAAUUUAUAAAUUAACUUUGGUCCAAUGUGCAAUUUGAUACAUAAACUUUGAUUUGGUGCAAUUAUACAAAUGAAACUUGAAUUGUGGUUCAUAUGUAUUUAUGAAACUUUGAUUUUGAUUCAAUUGUAACAUUUAGGGGGCAUUUGGUUCACCAAAUCUUAGAUUACAUUCCGUAAUAGGAUUAUGAGAAUGUAAGAUUAUCUUGUUUGGUUCAUUUGGUUGGAAUGUAAGAUUCAGGUGUUUGGUUGAUGAAAUGUGAGAUUACCUAAAAGUAAAUUUUAUUAUAUUUUCCUUGUUAUAAAAUUUUUAUUUUUUGUUACAUCACAAAAUAUAGGGGAUUAAUUAAAAUAAAUAACCAAGAAAUGACCUUGGUCUGAUGGUUAAGUAGUUAGUGCACUCCUUAAAGGUCCUAGGUUUUAUCCAUUCCUCUCAUUUCUUUUCUUUUCAUUUUCAGCAAACUAGGGUGAAACAACACUAAAAUGAAUAUCAUUUGUAAUAGAUAUUUAACAAGAGUGGGUAGUAGCCUAAUGGUUAAGCAUUUACUCCUUUCCCUUGCUUAGUAUUGUUCAAGUCAUGCUCUUCUCCUCUAUUUUAUUUUAAAUUUUGGUCAAAAUUGGGUAAUUCGGGCAAUCCCUUAAGAUUUGAAAACCCUAAGUAUUUAGUCCCUCUUUUUCUAAUUACUCUAAGAUUUUGAUUUCUUUUUCUAUUUUAAAUUGAAUUCUCCUUCCUUUCCCUAAAUCUUCGCAUAUCUCUUUUUCAUCAUCUUCUUUACAUCAAAUUUUCUCUCCACUAUUGAAAUUAUUUUUUCUUUCGAUAUCAAAUCAAUCUAUGAUAAAUUGAUUCCCUACCGACUUUUGAAAUUCUACGUGAUAGCCUCCAUAAUUCAUCAAGUGCAGUAAAUGCACUCGAUCUAAAGUUUAGGGCCCCAAAUUUUGCAGGAUUUCUAUCUGAUAUUGAUCUUUCAAAUCAAUUAGUCAAUCUUUCACGGUUUUUGACGAAUCUUUCAUUAAUAUUGUUGAAUCUUGAUAAAUCUUAGAAAACAAACGUUAAAUCUUGUAUAAUUGUCAUUUGAAGAACUCAAUUUAGGUAUCACAGAUCAAAUUUGAAUGUGAGGAACAUCACUCGAGAUCCUAGUUACAAGUGUGUGUUCUUUUACAAGUGAAUCGAGGUAAAAUCGUGCCUAUUAUAGAGCCACACAGGCAUUUGGGCCACUCAUAUAGACCACAGAACCCUUCACAUGAUCAUGUCCCCUUGAAACCCUAGAUUAUUUCAAUUCACACACGGCCUAGGACACUCCACACGGUCAUGACUCCCUUGUAGAUUGAUUUUGCAAAUACCACACGGUCACAGUCUAUCACACGACCUAGCCACACAGUUGUCUAUCCCCUUCACAAAGUCUAGGGCUUUCCACACGGCCAAGUGUCCCCUAUUUCUCAGAUUUUACAGUUUUACCCAAAAGUUUUAGGAUUAGAUCAAUUUAGUCCCUGAAUAAUUUCUAAACUAUUUCUAGUGCUCUAAUUUAUUUAAUUGAGCCCUUGAUAAUAUGAAUUAUAUUAGAAUCCAUGAUUUGAUGGACUAAUUUAAUAUGAAAUAUAUAUAUAUAUAUUUGCAUGAACUGUUAACAAUACAUAUGUUUAUUGUUUUAGAGUUUGAGAUUGUAUGUUUAGUAUGCCUUAUGUUACAGUUAAACUGAACACUUAAUAAGCAUGACUUUUGCUACUGAGUUGAUCUAUUAUAAGCAUAUUAUUUACUACUAUGUUGAACUGUUAUAAGCAUAUUGAUUGCUACUGUAUUGUUUUUUUAAAAGCAUAAUUAAAUGUUACCGUAUUGGUAUGUUUUCAGCUUGAGCUAAAACACUGCAUGGGGUGGGAUGAUAUGUACAGACAAAGAAGUGACAGUUUAUCUGUAAAUUUUUUAUGGGUCCAUAGCCCAGUGACAGUAUUUAUCCUUUAACUACAAAUGUGUUGUACAUCCACAACCCAUCAACAGCUUUUACAUGCAAAUAUGUUGUGCAUCUACAGCCUAGUAGCAGAUUUUAUCUGCAAUAUUUUGCUAUGCACCCACAGUCCAACGGAAGAUUUUAUUUACGAAACCAGUGGUGGUCAAACCACAACAUGGUAUGUAGUUGGUUGGAGUUUAGGGGAACUCCCAUUAUGUUGUGUAGUGAUAGGGUAGGAUCUUUUCUGUUAAACUAAAACUGUAUGGCAUUCAUAAAGUAUGUGCAUACAAACUGGAUUUUUCUAAAAUGACAUAUAUAUAUGUAUACAUUGAUUGAAGUGAUCUGAAAUAUCGGUGUUCUGAAAUUGCUAUUGUGUACUGUUUUAUACAUGAUGUUUUUGUAUACUUAAGCGUUUGCAUUGGUUACUUGUGAUAGAAUGCACACUGAGCUUCAUAGAUCACUCCAUUUUUAUUUCCAUCUCUAUAGAUAACCCACCAGGUUAAGAUACGAACAUGAACGGAGGGACUGGGCUUGGUUUUGUUUUUAUUAAAUAUUUUAGAUUUAUCAUUUGAUACUUUCGUUAUUCAAAGACUAUAAUGUUUUAAUUUCAAUUUAUGGCAUGAGACUUAGGAAUUGGGUUUUAAAAGCAUGCAUGACAUUUAAUUUAAUUUAAUUUUAGGAUACUGAAAUAUGAUUUUCAACUAUUUAUGCAUAUAAUCUGAUUAAAUCUAAAUUGAAUAUCACUUUUCUGUUGCUAGAUUGUAUAUAAAAUUUGACUAAUAAAUAAAAUAGAAAUUAACUAAGUUUUCAAUGGUAAUCACCUUUUUUUCAAGAAAAAUUUUAGAUUAAUCAUAUUUUUGUCCACUCAGGAUUUUUUUAAAAAUAAAUUAAAUUUUCUUCUAAAUAUAAAUAAAUAUUUUAAAUUAAUUAUUUUAUAAAUCUCGAUUGCUACUAGGUCAUUUCGACGGCCGAUGUAAUCUCUCGAAUUCGGAUUUAACAUCUAAGCUAGGUUGGGGAGGUUAUAUUUGGUGGUAUCAGAGCCUAGAUUUUUAAACUUGGACCGUGAAAAUUUGAUUGAGUCUGGCUGCAUGCAUAAAAAGGGUAGUUUGGGAAAAACCAUGCCACAAAUUUUUAGAAAUUAGUUUCUACAAGAAAUUAAAUCCGAGACUCCGAUGCCUUUCCCACUGUAGCUACUAUUGCUAUUGACACUUUAGAUAAAAUGAAAUCCUUUAGACUAUAGAUAUAUUGUAGCUAAUGCUUGAACAUUUAUGUGAAAACUGUAGAUAUAUUUAGAUCUUAAAAACUUUCGAAAACAUAAUGAAAACACUAGGUAGACGUGGUAAGGGUAGGUCGCGUAAGGUUACACAUAUACAGCUGCACCUGUAGAGCUGCCCUGUCACAUCCCAAAAACCAAGUUAAAAGAAUUGGGUUGGUGAAAAUUGAAAUUCCCGAUUUAUAAAGUUAUCUUUGAGUAUUUAUAAAUAGAGGGUUUGAAACGAAUAUUGAAAUUGGGGUCAUAAAUAAUUAAAUAAAGUAUUAAAAUAAUAUAAUAUGGUAUUAUUAUAUUAAUUAAUCUAAAACAAAACUUGAUUACAAGGUUUAAUUUGAAAAUAGUGUGUUUUAAUUGAAUUAGGACCUAAUUGGAAAAAGGGUAAAAUGAAUUAAAAUAUUAGUAAUGAGACUUGACCAUGAUUAUUAAUUAUUAUAUAUAAACUAAAAUAGGAAUGUGUUAAAAACUAUAAAGUUAAAUAAGUUAAUAAAAUAAAUUUGAGUAAAUGUAUAAACUAAUAAAAAAUAGAUAAAGUUGAGCAGGAAAUAAAUAUAUACAAAUAAGAAAUAAAAUUAACUAAGAAAUGAGUCUUAGGGUUUGGUAGUUAAGUGUUAUUCCCCCAUCCUAGAGUUUCUAUGUUCAAGCUUUCUUCUCCUAUUUAUAUUCCUUUUAUUUUCAGCAACCCAAGAUAAAAGCCACACUAAAAUAAAUAUUAUUUGAGGUAAAAACUACAUAAGAAAUAGGCUUAGGCUUAAUGGUUAGCAUGCUAGUUUCCUUCCCAAUUGACCUAGGUUUGAAUCCUUUUUUCCCUUUUUAUUUUAUAAUUUCACCAAAGACACUCCAAACAUUAAAAUAUGUAAAAUUAAGUGUAAAAAUUAAGCAAGAAUGAACAACAAGAUCAAUGGUAAAGUGUUAGCUCCCCUAAGAACAUGAGUUUGAGCCUCCUCCUCCUCCUCCCCUAUUAUUUUAAUUUCAAAAUUUCGACAAAAUAUUGAAAAAAUUACAGAAGACACCUUAGGGUUUACAAACACUAAGAAUUGACCCAAUUCUUUCCUAAUUAAAAUUCAUAUAUUACUCCUUCCCAAAAUUCCAAUAGAAUUAGAAUUCUACCAACUUUUUAUCUUCUUUUCCUAAUUAGAAUUUCAGUUUGCCCCUUUUCAAAUCUUAAUAGAAUUUGCCCUCCAUCCUUCUAUUUAUUAUCCCUUUUCUUUUCCACCCUCUUCUUUGCAAAAUAUUUUCUUUCCAUUAUUGAAAUUAUUUUUGCUUUCCAUAUUGAAUUAAUUCCCGAUAAAUCGAUUCUCUAUCGAUUGUUGACCUCUUCGUUAAUAGCCUCCGUAAAUUCAUCAAGCUCAAUAAGUACAUCUCGGUUCAAAGUUUAGAUCCUGAAUUUUCAAAAUAUUUCUAAUCGAAAUUAAUCUUUCAUUCAAUCUAAUUAAUCUUAAUAGUUUCUUGUCACAUCUCUCAAAAACCUUGAUUUAUCUUGAAAUCCUUCAUUAAUUUUUGUGUAAAUGUCAUUUGAAGGACUCGAUUUAGGUACCCUAGACUAGAUCUAAGCACAAAGAAUGGCGUUCGAGAUUUCAGAGUCAGGUGUGUGUUCUUUUACAAGUGAAUCGGCACAAAACAGUGUCUAGGAUAAGACCAGAUGACCCUUCACAUGACCAUGUUCCCCAGAAACCCUAGGUUUUUCAAUUCUCACAUGGUUUAAGACCCACCACACGGCCUACCACACAGUCAUGUCUUCCCUAUAGGUUGAUAUUGCAAAUACCAAAUGGCCAUAAUUUGUUACACGGCCUAACCACACAGCCAGGGCUUCCCACACGGUCCGGUCACACAGUCGUGUGUAUCCUAUUUUUCAAAUUUUAUAGUCUUGCCACUAUUUUUCAUAUUUUAUUAUUUUGUCCCUAAUUUUUAAAUUUUAUAGCUUUGCCUUUAUUUUCAGAUUUACAGUUUUUCCCCUAUUUUACAAUUUUCAUAUUAGACCUUGAAUAGGUUUCAAACUUUUUUUACUGAAUUAAAACAUAUAAUUAGGUCAAUGAUAGUACACAUUAUGUUAGAAUGUCUGAUUUGAUUGAAUGAAUUAAUAUGAUAGUGAUAUAUAUUUGCAUGAAUUAUGAACAACACAUAUGUCUAUUGUAAUUGUAGUUGUGACUGUACGUAUAGUAUAGCGUAUACCGUUAAACCAAUCACAUAGAAAGCAUGACUUCAGUUAUUGAGUUAAUUUGUAACAAACAUAUUAAUUGCUACUGAAUUGAAUUGUUUUGAGCAUAUUGUUUGCCACUGCAUUGUUUCGUUAAGGGUAUAUUAAAUGCUAUUGUAUUGACCUAUUUUGAGCAUUCCAUAUUGCAUUGCAUAGGGUGGGACGAUAUGUAUGGAGGAAGAUCAGACAGUUUAUUUACAAAAUAAAUAUGGCUAUGCAUGCAAGUCAUUGCCAUGCAACAGCUCUCAUCUGCAAACCACUGUGAAUCUAUAGCACGAGUUAGAUUCCAUUUGUAGGGUAUUGUUGUGAAUCCACAUCCAAAGGAAGAGUACUUUUGUGUAUCCAUAGCCGAAAGUAGAUUCCAUUUGCAGGAUUUCAUUGUGUAUCCAUAGCCAUGUGACAACUCUCAUUUGCAAAUAUUGUUGUGUGACCGCAGCCUAUGCCAGUUUUCAUUUGUGAACCAGUAGUGAUUUAACCAUAAAUCCGGUUUGUUGGUGGAUAGAGUUCUAGGAAACUCUUAUUGUGGUGUGUUGUGGUGGGGUGGGACAUUUUCUGUUAAACCGGAACUGUAUGACAUUCAUGAAACAUUUGCAUAUAAAACUGAGAAUUUCUGAGAUGAUACAUAUAUAUACAUAUGUACAUUGUUGAAAGAUUUGAAAUGUUGAUAUGUUGAAAUUGUUAUUGUGAAUUAUUUUAUGAAUAGUAUUUUUGUAUGAUAAAUCGUUGCACUGAUUAUUCCUAUGAUGAGUUGAUAUAAAAUAAUGAUAUUUUGAAUUGUCAUUCAUUUGUUAUUACUCUGAAUUCUGAGAUAGUGAAGUGAAUUGUUUUAUGUGAAAAAUUGUCAAUCUAAAGUUCUUUAUGAAUGUGUUUAUUCACAAAAUUAUUAAAUUCAUGUGCCUUGUCUACAGUUUGCACUGAUUUUACUUGCGACGGAAUGCACAUUAAGCUUCAUAUCUCACCCUCUUUUAUUUUUCAUCAUUUCAAAUAACCCACCAAAUUAGGACACGUACGCGAAUGUGACAUCAGAAGGGUCUCAGAUCGGUUUAAUUUACUGAAAUAUUUUUGGUUUAUUAUUUGAUAUUUUUAUUAUUAUUCAGAGACUGUAUUGUUUUAAUUUCAAUCUAUGGAAUGGGACUCGAGAAUUGGGUUUAAAAAGCAUGCAUGACAUUUAAUUUAAUUUUAGGAUACUGAAAUACAACAUUUAAUUAUUUAUACAUAUAAUCUGAUUUAAAUCAGAAUUGAAUAUCAUUUUUUCGGUGCUAAUCUGUAAAUGUGUUUUGUUAAGGAAGUAAAUUGAAAAAUUAACUAAGUUUUCUUAAAAGUAGUCAUUGUUAUGUAGCAAAGCUAAAUUAAUUCGAUUUUUGAUAACCUGUGAGUUCUUUGAAAAAAGACUAAGUUUUCUUCUAAAAUAAAUAAAUAAAUAUUUUAAAUUAAUGCUUUUCAAAACUCCGAUAACCUUGCUAGGCCAUCUUGGCGGCUGAUGUAAUCUGUCAAAUUUGGGUCUAACGUCUAGGCCGGGUUGGGGAGGUUACACACCCACUAUUCAGGGUGAAAAUUCAAUCCCGGAAGAGGAUUAUGUUGAUAACUCCACCGCCAAUGGUGGCGAAGGCUAUGAGAACGGAGAUGACUCAGUGACAUAGGCGAUGCUGAGGGUGUUACAUAGGGUUGCUAGAGCCCAAACUAGAUCAGGGAACUAUGGGUCCGUUGCGGAAAGGUUCCAAUCAAAUGGGACGAAAACUUUCAAAGGUGUUGCUAAAACAACUCCUACUAUGGUAGAGUAUUGGAUGGAGUUGACGAAAAGGAUUUUGGAGGAUUUAGACUAUACUCCAAAGCAGAAGUUGAAGGGCACUGUGCUUUUGCUUAGGGAAGAGGCCUAUCUUUGGUGGCAGUCUGCUGUAAUGGGCACACAGGCUAAUUGUAUUAACUGGGAAUAUUUCCAAAGGGCCUUCCAAAAGAAGUAUGUGGGUACUAGGUAUGUGCAAUCCCAUAGACUCGAGUUCAUUGAGUUAAAAUAGAAAGAUAAGACUGUGCCAAAAUAAGAGGUUGAAUUUCUAAGACUUAACUGCUACGCCUAAAGAAUGGUCACCACAAAGCAAGAUAAGUGCGUGAGGUUCGAAAAUGGGUUCCAAUUCGACCUCAAAAUUUAGGUUGCUUCACACUAGGAAUGGGUAUUUGAAACCCUUGUGAAGAAAGUCAUAAUUGUGAAGGAGAUCAAACAAGUGGAACUUGAAAAAUGAAAGAGUAAGGUCUUGGUUAAGAGAGGUUCUGGUUCCACUUAUUCGGAUUCUCAUCCUAUAAAAUAAGCCAAAGAGAUUAGACCAAAACAAAGGCUUGUUGUAGCUAAUUCUGAGGAUAGAAUUUAUAACUGUAUGUAUUGCGGUAAGUGCUACCCAGGCGAGUGUUGGAAGAAAUUGGGUGCUUAUCUGAAGUGUGGGUCGACGGAGCAUAUGGUAAGAGAUUGCCCUCAUCGAAGUGAGUAAGCACAAGCUCUACCCGCAAUCAAGCUCAAAACCAAAGAUCGAGUUAGUUACCUCCAAGGGGCCGAGGUCAAAAUAGAACCACAAAUACUAUAGCAACCAAUGCGAACCAAACUGAGGCUAGACAAGUCACUCUUAUUUAUGUCAUUCGAGGUUAUGAGGACAGAGAUGCAUCCGAUACCAUCACAGGAAUUUUUCCCUAAUUGACAUAAGAUCUAAGAGAUUUUGCCCUUUGGAAACAGUCAGUACCUCAUUUUAUUAAUAUUGAGUAAAUUGACUAUCAUUAUUAGAGAUUAUUUUAUAAAAUAAUUAUAUGUAGAUUUCAACAACUGUACAAAUGAAAUUAUGAACAUAAUUUUGUAUUUCUGAGCUUAAAUUCAGCAAAGUGGCAAAGCUAUAUUAGGUAAUAGAAAUUUUACAUUCAUCCACAUGUCAUAAUAUUAUGGUGCCAAAUGGAAGAAUUGUACCAAUGUCACGUAAACUUCCUAAAAUGUAACCUAAAAUUGUUUUAGUAUAUAUAUGAUUUUAAUAACAUUUAAAUUAUUAAUAGUUGAAAAUAUCACCAAUGCAAAUUAUAAUAAAAUAAAAAAUUAAAUGUACUAAUUGAUGGGUUUUUAGAUUCUACAAGUAGGGUUAAGAUAAUGAUAAGUGUCCGAUAUGGUAUAAUAAAAUAUUAAAAAGAAAUGAGAUACAUGACAAAAUUUUAACUUUGCUUAUGAAGUUAAAAAAGUACACUACUAGUGUAUCAAAUAUUAACCCUUAGGGGAUGUUUGAUUUAAGGUAAUGACUAUGCCAUUACAAGCCUAUUACAAGCCUAUUCUACAGGUCCACACAAACAGAUGUUUGGUUCAGUGAAAUACCCUAUUAUGGGUGUAUUCCGUUCCGGACUUAAGCAGAGAUAUUUGGUGAUUUCUAUUCCCUCCCCUCUUCACUUGUUUACUCAUUCGUUGCUUGAAGAACCCUAUCUUACCCUCACCAAAUUCUCACCUCAAAAACACUCAAAUGACAGCCAUUUCUUGCUUCCUUCAACUCCGGUACUCCUCUUCUUCAUCCAACGUCAGGUAAACAUUUUUCCUUCCGCUGUUCCUUUCAUUUUCCUGUCUGUCAUUUUUUCUUACCCACAAAUUUUUUCUACCUCUUUGUGUUACUGCUUCAUUCACCAUCAUCUCUAAUAUUCUUUUAAUAAAUAAAGUCUCUGAAAUCUUGGAUCUGAAUUUUUGUCCUACCAGGCUUUCGGUGAGUUUACCUUUUCUACCUCUUCUUUGAUUUUAUUUUUCAUGUAAAUCAAAACCCCAUUUUGUUAAAAUUUAUGUUUUGGCUGCAAAUGAGAAGUUCAAUUUUGAUGAUCAAGAUCUUUCCUUUUCUUGUAAUUUAUGUUUUGGUUUUUUUGAAUUGAAUACCUAAAGUCUUAAUCUUUUUGAGAAUCUAUUGAAUUGCUUGUUUGGGUAUGUUGAGAAAUGAUAGAAAACUUAAUUGUUUGUAUGAUUAAAGGAAUUUUUUAUAAUUUGAUAGUUAAUUUUUUGUAUGAUCUAACUUUGAGAUUGUAGCCAAUGUAGGCUGGUUUUUUUUAAUCAUUUAUGAUUUCUAUUGAUAACAUUUGGAUCAACAAAUUUUCCAUCUUCACUACUUUCCAUACCUAAAUGAUUGACCUAUUUAAAAGCUAAACAAUCAAACAGGUGAUGGUGAUUCCAAUGAAACAAAUCAACCCCUAAAGUGGAAUAUAAAUCAUUUCCACAAACAAAAGGUAAACAAAAGAAUCAACCCCAAAAAAAUUCUAUUCUAUAAUAAGAAGUAUCAAUUAUGAACUAAAACAAGAUAAAUCGAUGUUUACCCACUUCAAGUAUAGGAACAAUGAUUGAUUCCCAAAAUCUAGCUUUUGCUUUUUAGCUCACUUUCCAAAUCAUUUUUUCCCCAGUUUUCUGAAUGACAUGUUAAGCAAAACAAAAAUAAUUGUUUGUGUGAUUAAAGGAAAUUUUUGUAAUUUGAUAGUCAAUUGUUUGUAUGAUCUGACUCUGAGAUUGCAGCCAAUGUGGGUUGGUUUUUUUUAAUCAUUGAAUAUUUGUAUUGAUAAAAUUUGACUUGAAAAGGCUUUGUUUAUUUUGUGUACAUCAUCAAUGGAAUUAAUACGUCAAUUUUGAUCCAAUGGUUGGCAUCAAUACAUUGCUGUUUAUUUUUGAGAUGUUUCCUUAUCUGCCUAUCAUUUGUUUUUGCAGAUGUUUUAAUAUUUGGGGAUUUUUAUUUUAUUUGGUUUCCUUUGUGGACUAGACAUGAUGUUCUUUCCUAAAAUUUUUUAAUUCAAAAUAGGGUUAUAUGCUUAUGAGAGUUACUAUUCUUUAGCAUCGUGUUUUCAAUAGUGACUCAAUUUUAGUUUAUACAUGUAUAUUUUGUUAAUAUAUUAUUUCUAUUAACAGUAAGGGUUGUUGCUGUUUAAUAAUAUUGUUGUUCGUUUUUUGACCAUGUAAUCUUAUGAAACUUGUAUUUCUAGUAUGAUAUACUUUAAACCAUUUCCUAAAUUAUUAUUUUUCCAUGUUUUAUUGUUGUUGUGUGUUUGCACUACUUGUUUGAGUCAUUUUAGUUUAGUCAUAUGCUAGAUGAGUAUGCUUUAAUUGUUCAACCUUAUAUAAUAUUAUGUGUUCAUUUUUAGUUUUAUUAGUUUCAUGUUUUCCAUUCAUUUUUAUGAUAAACGGUGAAUGGUUGAAGGAGCAGUGAGAGCAGUAGUAGUUUAGACUUUUUUUUCAAUUUUUGUUCAUCAACUAAUGCAUUUUGCCUUUGUUUUUUGUUAAGUUUUUUUUUUGGAUUUUUUAGUUGGAAAUGAUCAUUUGGUUAAUUUUAAGUUUUAAAAGAUCUAGGUGUUGAUUUUUUUCGAUUUUGGGCUAGGAUAAUUUAACGCAAUAUAUUUACAAGUAUAAUAUAUUUUGUGAUUGUGAAAAAAGGUUCUAGGAAAGUUCUUAGAAUGGUUUGUGUGUUAAAUGUGUAUCCUCUUGAAAUAAUGGAAUGAUUUGUGUGUUUUAGCUAAAGAAGUGAUUGAAGGUCGCAACAAGGAGGGGAAACAUAUCGCUCAAGGGUGUGCUAAGGUAACAAUACCCUGCUAAUGUCUUUGUUGUAAGUUGGUUAUCUGUUCAACUUUGGAAAGAUGAAAUUUGUUAAUGAAAAAUGAGGCUGCUAAGGUAAAGAGCAACACACCAAAAUAUAAAGCAAAACCGCAGUAGUUACCCUUUUAAUGGAAUUAAGUUAAUACCACUUUUAUUUUAUAUAUUUUAAAUUUGACUUUGCCAUGAACAAAAUAGACUAAUUACCCUUUUAAUGGAUUGAUAAAAUAUAAUAAAAAUAUAUAAUUAUUAACUUGGACCAGCGAAAAGAAUAUUUAUAAUAAUUUUAAAUUCAAUUUUUUUUAUCAAAAAGUAGUAUUUUAAUCUAUGGUUUAAAUGAUAUGUUUUGUUUAUCAAAAUUGGAUUAAAUUGAUGAAUUGAAUUGAUUCAAUCGGUAUUAUAAAAUUAAGAAAAAAUCAAUUAAUAAAAAAUCAAUUGAACUGGGUUAAAAUCUGAUUAAAAACUGUUUGAAUAAAAUUUAAGUUAAUUUAUAUAUUUAAUUUUGUUGUUAUAAUUUAUAAAAUGAAUGCAUAUGUUAAUAUUAUUAAUUUAUGUUUAUCAUUUUUUUUUAUUUUUACAAAUUUCAAGAUUUUUUGAAAUAAAAAUAUUUUGAAGUUUUUACUUUACAAUGAUUGAACUAAUUAUUUAAUCAUCUUUACACUCUGAUCUGUUAUUCAUUUUUUUUUAUUUAAACACACAUAAAAAAUAUAAACUAAGAUGAUGUAAAAAAACAAAUAGAAAAUCUAUCAUUCGCAAGUUGUAUUAAAGGCAGACCUAACCACUUUUAAACACUAAAAAAAAAGAGAUAGAAAUUAUAGAAAUAAAAAACAUAUAAAUUAUAAAAAAAUAUAAUAAUAUAUAAUACAAAACAAAUUAAACAGAGGUAUAAGAAAUAAUGUAGUGUGGGAAAGGACAUGAAUGACAAGAAGAUUUCAAUAAAGAAAAAUUCUACCCACUUUAUAAAAAAAAUCAUAAAUAGUAGCGAUUCAUAUAACGUGGACAGUUCAUCAUAAACGUGACAAAAAAAGUAAUGACUCCAUCACUUUUUUUUUUAGAAGGAAAAAGAAAAUGGAUGUAUUUAACUUUUAUAAUAAUAACUUAAUAACUCUUUUGCUAUUACUUAUAAUAAUUUUAUUUUUAUAUACAAUAAAAAAACAAUAAUUAUAUUUUUAUAAAUAUUAUUUUAUUAUAAAAUUUAGACAAAAACAAUAUAAUCUCGAUAGGUAUAAAAAUUGGUCAACAAUUAACUUCUUCAUUCUCUUUCCCCCCAAAACAAGAAGAGAAGGGAAGAGCACCCAAGGUUUCAUUACGUUUAUGGUGUGCUUGACUUUGACAAAUACCCAAAGUACUCUUUAAGAUUUUCAAACCAAACCGAGAAGGGAAGAGAAAUUAUUUUUUUGAUGAGCACAUUCUUCAUGUUUCUUACUGUAAACAUAUAACGGAAUUGAGUUAAUACAAAAUAAAAGAAAAUAAGACCUUAUUUAAAUACCUUUUUUAGUUUAAGUAAAAUGUUAUAUUAAGUAAGUAGAGCCCUUUCUAUUUAACUAUUCAAUAUAUACCUUAUAAAAAAAGUAAUAUAUUCAAUUAUUUCUUUUCUUUUCCCACAAAAAUUAUUACAUUUAUGUUAUUUUUUCCUUUUACUAAUUUUAACUAUUCAAACAAAAUAAUAUAUCUUUUUCUAUUCACGAUUAUUAACUCAAAUUUAACAUUAGUUAAUUACAAUGUGAGGAUGAAUACAAGCUCUUUAAAAGGUAAAUUAAAGAUCGAAUUUUUAAAAAGUUUCAUGUAAUAUAUGUAUAUUUCUGUAAAAUUGGAAAUUGUGUAAUUUGGAUGUGGAUGUAUUUUAAGUUUAGAUGUUCAUCAUUAAUUUUUCUUUUAAAACAACUAUAAUUUUUGUUCAUGACAUUAUUAUUCGCUAAAUAAAGAGCCGUUUUUGUUGAAUGAAAUUUGAUAAAGAAAUUAAUUUCAAGUUUUUUACUUGCGAAGAUAGUUGUAAUUUCUAUUUAAGCUUUGCAAAGAUUCCUAAUAUGUAUUGUUCAUUUUUCUUUGACAGUGUGUUAUUUUUUCCUCUUCUUAUUUGGCUUGCUUGAUUGCUUCCUCUACCCACAGUUGAGCUUCUUGUAUCUACCGAACCACUAUAAGUUCUUUGGAAAUUAAAUUCUUUGAUUUUGUUUUACUUCUAUUGAAAUUAGUAUUGAAGUACUAUGAUUUGAAGAUAUGUAACACUUUAAUAUCUUGCAGUAAUGGCUCGUCUGCCUUUAAUAGUACAGAGUGAGAGGCGCAAAAGAAUUGUUCUUGCAUUAAUAGUAUGAUUGCAAACGUGUACUAUUGUGAGUUAGUUCUUAGUCAUAUUGGGUGCCAUCCAUAGCCUACAUACUUAUAGACUAAGGAUUAGAUCAUAUAUUUUAGAUUUUUAUGCAAAACAAGAUUAUGUGAAAAGACUUGUAUAUGCUAGUGACGAGACUUGUAUUGAACAAGUUAGGAUGAAUAGAAUUACCUUUUUAAAACUAUGUGAGAUGUUACAAACUUUAAGGGGAUUGAAGUCGUCAAGGAACAUGCUUGUUAAUGAACAAGUGGCAAUGUUUUUACAUAUCAUUUCUCAUCACCUUAAAAAUCGAGUUAUCAAGCAUAACUUUAAUAGGUCCAGGGAAACCGUUAGCAGAUCAUUUCACAAUGUUUUUAAUACUGUCAUACGCUUACAAGAUGUGUUAUUUAAAAAGUUAGAGCCAAUUACAGCUAAUUCUACAUACCCAAGGUGGAAAUGAUUUAAGGUAUUGGACGGAAUUCCAUAUAUAGCUCGUGCAUAAUUUAGCUGAUUUAGAUUUAAAUAUAGUAUCCUAACCCGAGGUUUUAUACAUGUGAUGUAGAAUUACUUAGAUGCUUUAGAUGGAACCCACCCAACAGUUGAUAAACCUAGAUAUCGAACGUGAAAAAGUGACAUAGUAACAAAUAUGUUAGGUGUUUGUAUACCUUAUAUGCAUUUUGUUUAUGUUCUUUUUGGUUAGGAAGGUUCUGUUGCUGAUGGACAGGUUCUUCGAGAUGCCAUUAGUAGGAGACAUGGACUAACAGUUCCUCAUGAUAAAGUGCAAAAUUAGAGGAAUUUGAACCAAUUUAUAAUAUCAUACUUUUUUGGGAAAUUAAUCAUGAUAAAUAGUUUUUUAUAUAGGUUGUUAUUAUCUAGUUGAUGUUGGAUACACAAACUGUGAGGGAUUUCUUGCGCAUUUUAGAGGACAAAGAUAUUAUUUGAAUGAGUGGCGUUAGGGUUACCAGCCAAGUGCUCUAGAAGAAUUUUUCAAUAUGAAACAUGCUUCACCACGUAAUAUUAUUGAAAGAUGCUUUGGGUUAUUAAAACUUAAAUGGGGAAUACUUAGAAGUCCAUCAUUCUAUCCUGUGAGAGUGCAUAAUAGAAUCAUUAUUGCAUGUUAUUUGCUCCAUAAUUUUAUUUGAACCUAUAUGAGUCUUGAUCCUAUUAAAGUGGAGUUGGGAGAAAGAUUACCUAGUAAUGUGAUAGAUGAUGAUGAACUAAAUAUCGUAAAUAUUCAUCCAUCGAAUGCAUGGGCUACUUGGAGGAUGAAACUAGCCAAUCAAAUGUUCGAUGAAUGGCAAGCAUCUAGAAAUUAGUUAGGUUUAGGGUAAAAAUAGUAAACAUUAAUUUGUUUAUGUUAUUUCAUGUAUUUAUUUUAUGAUACUUCGGUGGUGUUUGAAUUGUUUUUUGUAUUGUACUAGACUUGUUGAAUUAUAAUUUAUUUUCUUUUGAUUCAUCAUGUGCUAUAAUUUUAUUAAGUGAUGACCUUUUGAUUCAUAAUAUUCAACUUAAAUUUAAUUUGCAUUUUUUCUUAAGAAAGUUAUGUUAGGUUUUUCACAAUUAAGUGUUUCUUCCCAAAAUUCUCGAGGAACCAAAAGGAAAUGGGUUCUAGAAGAAGAUGAUGCGUUGGUUACCUAUAUGGAGCCUUUAAUGUAGAUACGAGAUUCAAAGCCCGGUUAUUUAAAUGAGCUACAAAAAAAAUGUUAGAAAAAAGUUUUACCCCAUCUAUAUUGAAGGCUAAACCUAAUCUUGAAUAAAGGAUUAGGACAUUGAAAAGGGAUUGGGCAAUCGUUUAUGACAUGCUUAGUGGAAAAAACAAUAGGGACUUUGGUUGGGACAAGCACAGGUAGCUUGUUAUUGCUUUAUUAUCUUGUUUAGACUAAACUUAUAUCUAAUAUGGAUUCCUCAUUUUUUAUAGAGUCAUAAAGAAGCUGGUCAAUUCAAACAUCGUAGUUUCCCUUGUUAUUUACUGCCAUCUAUACAAAAGAUCGAGCCACUGGGAAAGAUGCUUAAACAAUCACUGAUAUUAUUAAAGAAAUAGAUGUUGAGGAUGUAGCUACUACAAAUACUCAUGAAGAAAGAAACGAUUUCCAUGGAUGUGAAGUUGAUAUUUCUUUGGAUGACAUGGAUCUUUCAGCUACACAACCACAACCACCUAAAAACCAAGGUGAUUCCACAUUUUUAAAGAAGAAAACAAAGAUUUCUGAUGCAAGUGAUCAUAAUUCUUCUACUUCAUUUACUGAUGCUAUGACUUUAUUGGCGGAAAACUACAAAUUGUUGGCAUUGAAAUCAGUAGGAGUAUUGCCUUCGAAGUGCUAAUUCAAGAAAAGUUAGAAAUGACCAUUCAAGAAAGUGCUCUAAAAUUAUAUCCAACAUUAUGUGAAGUAGAAGGUUUAACUGAGGACGAGCGUUAUUGCGCGUUGAGCAAAAUUCCAAACCAUCCAACGCAAAUGCUCAUUUUCUUUAGUUUAUCUUCUUCUGUGCGAUUGGAAUAGGUCAGAAGAUUUCUUACUAACCAUUAAAAAUCAAGGCUGUGUUGAUGAUAUUUUGACAAUUUUUUAUGUUUGUAAUAUUUGGAUGGUAUAAUGACAUGCUAGAAUGUCAUUACAAUGUUUUAACUUUUUGAUGUUGUAAAAUUUAACAUAUGGAUUAUGACAUAUAAGCUAAUGAAAUCAUGUAACUUUUUGUUAAUAUAUGAUUAUUUUUGGAUGUGAAAUAUAAUUCUCAAGCUAUUUAUUACUUCUAAUAUUUUGUUUUUUAUUGUAGAAUAAUUAAAUUAUUUGUUUCACUAAUAAUAUUUUAGCACAUUAAAUAUGUAUUGCAGUUUAAAAUAAUAAAGUAGGUUAUAUAUUAUUUUUAUAAUAUUAUAUAUUAUGAUUUUUUAAUUCAUAUAAUAAUAAUUAUAUUAAGAAUGUUAUUAAAAUAUAUAUUAUUUUAUUAAAUUUUAUUUAAUAAUAAAUAUUUUAAAAUAAGAUUAAAUUAUUUAUUAUUUUUAGCAAAAUAUAUUUAACAAUAAUUUUAUUAAAAUUUAAUAAUAAUAACAAUAAUCAUCUACCUAAAAAAAAUUUUACUAAGGGUACUUUAGUCAUUUAAGCCUUUUUCCUUAUACUAUUAUAACAUCUAUUCCAUUCGACCAAACACAAGAAUUCUAUUAUAGUUCUAUUCCAUUCCAUUCAACCAAACAAUUGAAUUAUUGAUUACAGCUCUAUUCCAUUAUAGUGAACCAAAAGUACUUUUAAAUCAUUAUUAACAACAUUAAAAAAUGAUGGGUUAACUAUACAAAUGGUCACGCAACUAUUAACACGUUUUUGUUUUGGUUGUCCAACUAUAAAAAUAAUUCAAUUUAGACACUAAUUUUAGUAUUCUUUUCUAUUUUUGCUCAGUCGUCGUUAAAAUGAUAAUGAAAAUAAUGACGUGGCUUUUUUCUAACAGAUAUCAAAACUUACAUAUUCUAUCAAUUUAAUCCUAAUUCUAAACAAUUCAAUAAAUUUAAACCGUUCACAUUUACAAAUUCUAUCUAUUUGAUCCUCAAACACAUAUAUAUAAUUAAAGCAUUUAAUUUGUCUUUAUAUUUCACGUAACAACAGCUUUUAAUAUAACAUAAUUUAUAUUAUUUGGAAAUUUUUUCCUAAAUUUUUGAAUCUAAAAGGUAAUUAUAUUAUGAAGAAAAAAUUAUCUUUAAAUAUUAAAAGCUUAAUUCCGGAACACAUAUGAUAUUCCUAGUUGUACUAAUUUGCAGCUUCAUGCUACUUGAUCUUGGUUUCUUUUGAGGGGGCUUUUUGUUUUUUUCUAGUUGUAAAGUAUUACCAGAUUUGUUUCGAAAAAUGGAAAAUACAAAGAGGCAGUGAAAUUUUCAUUUUUUGGGUUCAAAAAAUUUUCAUUAUUUUAUGGAAUUGAUGUGUUUUAUUUUCAAUCGUAAGUCAAGUUUGCAAUCGUAUGGGUUUCUCAUUUUAUUAUUUCUUCCAAUUUUAAUUUGAUUAAUAAUAAAUGUUAAGUUCAUUUAUCAGGUUAGGUCUUAACUUGAAAAAUCACUACAAAUACCUUGUUGUUAUAGAAAAAUUAACAAAACAAUAAAUAAAAGUGGAUGAAAAUACAAGAGAAAUUUUCAUUGUCGUAUUUUCACUUACAAUGUACUAUUUAUAAGCUCCUUUACAUUCAAUUACAUUUAAUGAACUAAGUUUUCUUAAUUACUCCAUUUAAUGAUCUCCUGAUUAUAAAUGAAGUAAAGAGUUUUAUUACUUUAAUAUGCUUAGGGGGUUAUAGACAUCUAUUUAAUUUACAACACUUCCCCUUGGAUGUCUUUUAAAUAAGAAUGUACCUCAUUAAAACCUUUAUUAGGAAAAACCCUGUAGGAUAAAAACCUAAUGAACGAAAAAGAGUACACAAUCUCCUAUUACAAGUUGUCUCGUUAAAAACCUUUACCAAGAAAACCCAGUGGGACAAAACCUUGGUUAAAGGAAAAGAGUACAACGUGUUUUAAACUCCUCCUAAUGACGACAUCACAUUAUAUCUUUGAGUCGACGCAUUCCAAUCUUGUUUCGUAGUCUUUCAAAAGUUGAAGUUGGCAAUGCCUUGGUAAAAAGAUCUACUAAAUUAUCACUAGAACAAAUUUGUUGAACUUCUAUGUCACCUUUCUUCUCAAGAUCAUGAGUGAAGAAUAAUUUUGGUGAAAUAUGUUUCGUUCUAUCACCUUUGAUAUAACCACCCUUUAAUUGAGCUAUACAUGCUGCAUUAUCUUCGUAUAAGAUAGUUGGCAUAUUUUCCUGUAAAGGCAAAUUACAUAUCUUCUAGAUAUGUUGGGUUAAUAACCUUAGCCAAACACACUCUCGGCUUGCCUCAUGCAUUGCAAUUAUUUCAGCAUGAUUUGAAGAGGCAACAUCUAAUUUUUGCUUUGUCGAACGCCAUGAUAUGGCAGUACCUCCACAUGUAAAUAAAUAUCCCGUUUGAUAUCGACCUUUAUGUGGAUCCGAUAAAUAUCCAGCAUCAGCAUAACCAACUAAUAGGGAUUUUGAAUCAUUUGAAUAAAAUAACCUCAUAUCAAUGGUUCCUUUAAGAUAUCUAAAUACAUGUUUAAUUCCAUUCCAAUGUCUACGUGUUGGAGAAGAAUUAAAUCUUGCUAACAAGUUUACAGCAAAAGUUAUAUCAGGUCUUGUGUUAUUUGCAAGAUACAUCAAUGCUCCUAUGGCACAUAGAUAUGGUACUUUAGGACCAAGAAACUCUUCAUCAUUCUCAAAAGGACGAAAUUGAUCUUUAUUCACAUCUAACGAUCGUACAACCAUCGGGGUACUCAAUGGAUAUUGUAACACCCUGUGCCCGAGACCAUUGCCGGAGUCGAACACGAGGUGCUGACCGACUUAGUUCAUUUACUUGCACAGUUCAUUUUAAAAAUUUCCAGACAGCUGGCUAACUGUGUCGCUUUCACCUUAAAAAUCAUAUCUUGAGUUCCACAACUCGAAAAUCAGUUUCGUGAUUUUUCCCUGAAACUAGACUCAUAUAUACAUCUACAAUUUUUUUUCUAUAAUUUUUGGUCGGGCCAAUUAGUACAGUUUAUUUGUUAAAGUCUCCCAUGUUACAGGGAUCGACUACACUGACCUUCGCGCAUAACGACUUGGAUAUCUCCCUGUACAGGGCGUCAAUGCUGAUGCCGUUUGUUUCUAUAGAAACUAGACUCAAAGAGGAAUAUAUACAUAUAUGGAAUGACUCCUAAUUAUCUCUGGUUAAUUUAUAAUGAAUUUCCAAAGUCGGAAAAGGGAAUCCAGAAACCGUUCUGGCCCUGUUUCACGAAAACCUAAAUAUCUCUUAACAUAAAACUCAUAUGACUGUUUCGUUUCUUCCAUAUGAAAGUAGAUUCAUCAAGGUUCAUUUACAUAAUUUAUUCACUAUUUAAUUCCAUUCCUAUUAUUUUUAGUGAUUUUUUUCACAUCCACAUCGCUGCUGCUGUCAGCAUCUGCCUUUAAGGUAGACUUUACCUAUUUCAUAGUUUCCAUGAUUCAAUUAGCCCUUUUUUUUUUGCAUACAUAGCACAAAGUAUAAUCAUGAUUAACCGUUCCAAUGGCUAAUUGUUUCCAAACAUUUCCAUACCUCUUAGUGAUCAACAUACAAAACGAUUAUAGUACUAUGCUAAAAACGUAUAUAAGCCAUUUUCGCAUGGCUAUCCAAAUUUACACAAAAUCUAUGGGUACAUGACCAACAACAAGAAGGGUAGUCCUAUACAUGCCAUUUCAAAGUUCAACCAAAAUUGUACCAAAAGGGGGCUUUGAUAGUGUGGGAGACUUCGACUUCCAAAAAUCCCGAGUCCGAUAGCUGACGAGCCAAAAUCUAUAAAACAGAGAAACAAAGAAACGGAGUAAGCAAUUUAUGCUUAGUAAGUUUUGAGCAAGGGAUUCCAGCACAACAAAAGUAUAGCAUUCAUAUAGCUAAACGGAUAAUUUCAUAUGCACAAAUUCUCAAUAUCAUACUUACUUCACAUUACCAACCCUUAUGUUCAUACACAAAAGAUCAACUUAGCCAAAGGCCGGUAGCUCAUUUAUCGACUGAGCGAAUACAGAUUUGUAAGGGAUCAACUAAUUCAAAGCACACACGAAACAUACCUCAUCGCUGGGAUUUUACGAGCGUAUUAAUUUAAAUUUUUACAGCAAGAUCGCUCGUUCCCAAAUCAAGCAUCUUCGAGGUUUAGCCGGAUAUAACCACUCGCACAAGGCCUUCGGGUCUUAACCCGGAUAUGGUCACUAGCAUAAGUGCCUUCGGGACUUAGCCCGGAUAUAGUCGCUAGCACAAAUGCCUUCGGAUCUUAGUCCGGAUGUAGUCGCUUAGCACAAAAGCCUUCGGGACUUAGCCCGGAUAUAGUCGCUUAGCACAAAAUCCUUCGGGACUUAGCCCGGAUAUCAUUCGAGUAACCAUGCACAUAUAUCAAUAAAUCAUGACACAUUCAUAUUUCAUUUUCAUUACCAAAGCUCAAACACAAGACACUUAUCACAUUUAUAAUUUCGGCUCAAUAGCCACAUACAAGAGCAUGAUUUUGAUUUACUUAAGACAUAGUCUAAUCGAAUCAUAAUUUAAGUCCCAUUACUCGAAAACUUACCUCGGAUGUUGUCGAACGAUUCCGAUGGCUAUUCGACCACUUUUUCCUUCCCUUUAUCGGAUUUAGUUCCCCUUUGCUCUUGAGCUUAAUUUAACAAAUAAAUUGAUUUAAUCAUUUGAGCAUCGAAAAGAGGAACUCAAGGCACUUGGCCCACAUAUAUCCAUUAGACAUUAAAGUCACAUAUGUACGGAAUCAUGAAUCAAACUCAACACAUUAGUUAAUACUCUCCUUAGCCGAAUUUUCUAAGUCAAGAUAAAGCCUUCAAUAUGCUUACCUAUGGCCGAACAACACAUCAACCUAUGUACUCAUUCAUGUGGCCGAUUAUGCAUGUCUAUAUUGAGGCCAGUUAUAUACUCAAUACCACACACAAAUGGCAUACCUUUUACUAACUAAUGCAUUACAUAUUAUAACUCAAUACGCAUCCAUCAUGUACUCCAUAACCGAAACACCAUCAUAUGUAAAUAUAUACCUUGAGAUAUUGUAUAUGUCAUACCAAUACGUCAUGUGCAAACAUAUAUAUAUAUGUGCAAGAGCCGAAUCUCAAAGUUGAUUAUAACUAAACAUGAACAUAAAUCCAAAACACAAAUCUUACCUACCAUGCAAUAAGCAUAAAUCAUACUUAUGGAUAUACCAUGGCCGAAUACAUCACAACACCAUACCAUUUCAAUUUUGGUCAUGGUUAAACAAAAAACUUAAUGUCUCACUCAAAAAUGCUAAAAAGAAAAUCCAAGAGUCAUCAAUCCACCAUCACAUGUAUCAUUAACAAGCUUCAUAUUUAGCAUGCAAUGGCAUUAACACAAAAUCCACCUAGGCCGAAUAUCAUCCCCAUGACAUAGCAAAGAUUUGAACCAUGGGCUAAUUAGAACUCAAGCUAGCAACUAAAAACAUGCAUGAAUCUCAUGGCACAACCUCAAACAUACCUUAAUCUAGAUACAAGUAUGGCCAAACCUCCUCCUAAUCCUCUUCCAAACCAAACAUGAAGCAAGAACUCCUUCCUUCUUCCUUAGAAUUUUCGGCCAAAAGAAAUGAAAAAGGAUGAACAAAAUUUUUUUUUUCUUUUCUCCAACUCACAGCAAUGGGGGGGGAACACUCACACACAUUCCUUUUUUUUUUGUUUUCUUCCUUCCAUUUCUUAUUAGUUUAUUGCCCAUGCUUCUUAUUUUAUUUUUCCAUUAACACAACAUGUUUCAUGACAUGUUUUACCCAUCAUCCCUUGUCAUGGCCGGCCACUAGUACUUAAAUGGGGGGAAAUUGACAUGCAAGUCCACCCCUUUGAUUACAUGCACUAUUAGGCCACUUGCAUUUGCCUAGCACAUUUCUAAAUUUUCUCACAUAAGUCCUAUCAACUAAAUUCACAUGCAAUUAACUAAAUCGAAGCUUAAAACUUUCACACAUUUAUAUUCACAUAUUUUAGGCAAUAAUUAUCACAUUCAAAUAAUUUGGUGACUCGGUCUAGCGGUCCCGAGACCGCUUUCCGACUAGGGUCACUUUAGGGCUGUCACAGCUCUCCCCCACUUAAGAAAUUUUCGUCCCCAAAAAUCUUACCGGUAAAUAGGUUUGGGUAUCGUUCUUUCAUCGAGCUCUCGGUUUCCCAAGUAGCUUCCUCGAUCCCGUGUUUGAGCCAUAACACCUUUACUAACGGAACCCUUUUGUUUCGCAACUCCUUCACUUCACGAGCUAGGAUACGCAUCGGUUCUUCUUCAUAACUCAUAUCGGCUUGAAUUUCAACCUCUGAUGGGCUAAUUAUGUGCGAUGGAUCAGAUCUAUAGCGUCGAAGCAUCGAAACAUGAAAGACGUCGUGAAUCUUUUCAAGUUCAGGGGGCAAAAUCAAUCGAUACGCAACUGGACCGACUUGUUCGGAUAUUUCGUAUGGCCCGAUGAACCUCGGACUCAAUUUGCCCUUACGCCCAAAUCUGAGUAUCUUUUUCCAAUGUGAAACUUUAAGAAACACCUUAUCUCCCACCUGAUACUCAAUGUCUUUUCGUUUCAGAUCCGCGUACGACUUCUGGCGAUCUAAGGCUAUCUUUAGACUUUCACGGAUUACUUUUACUUUCUGUUCAGCAUCUUCAAUCAAAUCCACUCUGAAAAUUUUACUUUCACCGAGCUCGGUCCAAAACAAUGGUGUACGGCAUUUACGCCCGUACAAAGCCUCGUAAGGUGCCAUCUUAAUACUUGAUUGAAAACUAUUGUUGUAAGCGAAUUCAAUCAAUGGUAAAUACCGUUCCCAUGAACCACUAAACUCAAGGAUGCAACAUCUCAACAUAUCCUCAAGUAUCUGAAUUACCCGCUCGGAUUUGACCAUCGGUUUGUGGAUGAAAAGCGGUGCUAAAAUGCAGCUUGGUACCCAAAGCUUCUUGCAAUUUCUUCCAAAAUCGCGAGGUGAAUCUCGGAUCUCUAUCCGACACAACAGAAAUCGGUACCCCGUGUAAUCUCACAAUCUGAGAAACGUACAAUUCAGCUAGUUUAUCCAAUGAAAAAUCCGUACGCACGGGGAUAAAGUGAGCCGACUUAGUCAGUCUAUCAACAACAACCCAAAUCGCAUCCUUCUUACUUGCUGACAAUGGCAGUCCGGACACAAAGUCCAUUAUGACUCGAUCCCAUUUCCACUCGGGUAUCAUGAUCGGCUGAAGUAAUCCUGAAGGCACUUGAUGUUCCGCUUUCACUUGUUGACAUAUUAAACAUCUCGAAACAAAGUCGGAGAUGUCUCGUUUCAUACCAUGCCACCAAAACCGACGUUUCAAAUCGUUGUACAUUUUCGUACUCCCCGGGUGAAUUGACAUUCGGCUACAAUGGGCUUCAUUCAGAAUCAUCGAAAUGAGUUCCGAAUUCCUUGGAACACACAAACGAAUUCUGAACCUCAAACAAUCAUCAUCAUCAAUUUGAAACUCCGAUUCCUUGUUCGGAACACACUCAGCCCGUUUUGCAACCAAUUCAUCAUCGACUUUCUGAGCUUCACGAAUUUGAUGAAUCAAUAAUGGUUUGGCUUUUAAUUCAGCUACUAACACAUUGUCGGGUAGAACAGACAAGUGUACAUUCAUCGCUCGCAAAGCAAACAGUGAUUUCUGGCUUAAGGCGUCUGCAACCACAUUAGCCUUUCCCGGGUGAUAAUUAAUGACAAGCUCAUAAUCUUUCAACAACUCAAGCCAACGCCUUUGUCGCAGAUUCAAGUCUCGCUGGGUCAUCAAAUAUUUGAGACUUUUGUGAUCCGAAAAUACAUGGCACUUCUCACCAAACAAAUAAUGUCGUCAUAUUUUCAAAGCAAAUACGAUGGCAGCUAGUUCGAGAUCAUGGGUUGGAUAAUUUCUCUCGUGUGGCUUCAAUUGUCUCGACGCAUAGGCCACAACUCGACCUUCAUGCAUCAAUACGCAACCCAACCCAAGUAGGGAUGCGUCACUAUAAAUGACAAACUCUUUGCCUGAUUCGAGUUGCACUAAAAUUGGAGCUUCAGUCAAAUAAGUUUUCAGUUGAUCGAAACUUUUCUGACAUUUCUCCGUCCAUUCGAACUUAACAUCCUUUUGAAGUAGCUUCGUCAUUGGUGUGGCUAUCAUCGAGAAACCUUUUAUAAAAUCGUCGGUAAUAACCGACGAGCCCCAGGAAGCUCCGAACUUCGGUAAUAUUUCUUGGAGGCUUCCAGUUAAGUAUGGCUAAAAUUUUGCUCGGGUCAACUCGAAUACCCGAUGCGGAUACCACAUGACCCAAGAAGCUAACCUCUCUUAACCAGAACUCACACUUACUGAACUUAGCAUAUAACUGCUUAUCCCGCAAAAUUUGCAACACUAAUCUCAGGUGCUCAGCAUGUUCGGUCUCAUCUCUUGAAUAGACCAAGAUGUCAUCAAUGAACACAACUAUGAACCGGUCCAAAUACUGUCUGAAGAUUCGAUUCAUCAAAUCCAUAAAUACCGCAGGGGCAUUAGUGAGCCCGAACGGCAUCACUAAGAACUCGUAGUGACCAUACCUCGUUCUGGAAGCAGUUUUGGGUACGUCCGAAUCUCGAAUCCGCAACUGAUAAUAACCCGAUCUCAAAUCUAUCUUUGAAAACACUGAGGCUCCCUUUAGUUGAUCAAACAAAUCAUCAAUACGCGGUAAUGGAUAUUUAUUCUUUAUCGUCACUUUAUUCAGUUGACGAUAGUCAAUGCACAACCUCAUGGUUCCGUCCUUCUUUUUCACAAACAAUACUGGUGCACCCCAAGGUGAGAAACUUGGUCGAGCGAAACCUCUAUCCGUCAAUUCUUGCAACUGAGCUUUCAACUUUUUUAACUCGGUUGGUGCCAUACGAUACGGAGCUAUCGAAAUCAGCGUAGUCCCAGGUACAAGCUCAAUACCAAACUCUAUCUCCCGAACAGGUGGCAAACCCGGUAAUUCUUCGGGAAAAACAUCCGGGUAUUCACAAAUUACUGGUACCGACUCAAGUUUCUUUUCUAAUUCCUUGUUAUCAAGUACAUACGCAAGGUAUGCUUCAUACCCCUUUCUUACAUAUUUCUGAGCCAACAUUGAGGAUAUUACAGCUGGCAACCCAUCCAAGUCCGUAGACUCAACUCGGAUUACUUCGUUAUUUGCGCACCUCAAAUCAAUAGUCUUGCUUUUGCAAUUCACAACCGCAUCAUGCACGGUCAACCAAUCCAACCCGAGAAUAACAUCAAAUUCAUCAAACGGCAGAAGCAUCAAGUCUGCCGGAAAAUAGGAACCUCGAAUUACUAGGGGACAUUUCUUACACACUUUGUCGACAAGCACGUAACGACCCAAGGGAUUUGACACCCGAAUUACGAACUCAGUAGACUCAAUAGGUAAAGUCUUACUGGAUGCUAAGGUUUCACAUAUGUAAGAAUGAGUAGAACCGGGGUCAAUCAAAGCAAUUACAUUAGUAUCAAAGAGAGUAAAAGUACCGGUAAUAACAUCAGGCGAAGAAGCAUCCUCGCGGGCACGUAUAGCAUAAGCUCUAGCAGGCGCACGAGCCUCAGAUCUGGUUGUAGCAUCUCUAGAUCCUCUCUGACCGCCACUAGCAUUUCCCGUGUUUCUAGACAGUCUACCCCGAGCAGUAGUAGCACCUGGUUUCCCACUCUGACUUACAUUUUGUUCAGGCAACCUCGGGCAAUCCUUGAUAAAGUGGUCAGCUGAUCCACACUUAUAGCAGGAGCGGUCAUGGAACCUACAGCUCCCCGAAUGCCAUUUACCACAAUGCUGACACUCCGUUCUGUCUCGACGUUCAUUCCCAACACUGGCGACCGAGGUGCCUCGUGUACCCACAGGGGGUCGAUCACGAUCUCAUCUAAAAAGGCCCGAAGUGCCUCUAGACCGGCCCACAUCAUCUCGAAAUUUCUUCGAUGCCUGUUGAAGAGACUUUCCCGAGGAUCUUUUACGAAACUCUCCAGUUCCCACAUCAACUUUUUGUUUUUCUUUUCUAAGCUCUUCGGCUUUACAAGCUCGCUCGACAAGUACUACGAACUCUCGUAUUUCAAGAAUGCCAAUGAACAUUUUUAUAUCUUCAUUCAGCCCAUCCUCGAAGCGUUUACACAUGAUAGCCUCGGACAAAACACAUUCCCGAGCGUAUCUACUAAGUCUAACAAAUUUUCGCUCGUAAUCAGUAACUGACAUAGAACCUUGCUUAAGCUCAAGAAAUUCCUUCCGUUUUUGAUCAACAAAUCUCUGACUGAUAUACUUUUUCCGAAACUCAGUUUGGAAAAACUCCCAAGUUACUUGCUCUCGGGGCACAACAGAAGUCAGAGUACUCCACCAAUAGUAGGCAGAAUCGCGUAGCAAGGAGAUAGUACACUUUAGGCAUUCAUCGGGUGUACAAGAUAGCUCAUCGAGUACCCGGAUAGUGUUGUCCAACCAAAAUUCAGCUUGCUCGGCAUCGUCGCUAUCCGUAGCUUUAAAUUCAGUAGCCCCAUGUUUUCGGAUUCUGUCAACUGGGGGCUUAUUUGACCUUAUUUGGUCAGUUACCAGAGGUAUUGUAGGUGCGAGGGUUGUAUUAGUCGGGAAUGGAGGUUGUGGAACAGCCGUAUUAGUUCGAAUGUAUUGGUUGAACCAAUCAUUCAUCACGCUAUAAAAAGUUUGCCUAGCUUCAUCAUUCGGAUUGCUAGCAAUCGGUUGAGAGUCCGCCGGAGCUGUCCCUUGUGCGGCAGCAGGCGCCACACUCUCAAGAUCAUCAGCUACCGCUCGGUCGGGAUCGGGAUCCAUUACUAUAAAUAAACACAUUUUCAAUUGUCAGAAAUCACCACACUAUCAAAUAAUCACAAAAUGGCAUGUAUAGCUAGACCCAAACGUAUUACGGUAGUCCUAAAAUCGACUAAAACGUGCUCUGAUAUCAAUAAAAUUGUAACACCCCAUGCCCGAGACCGUUGUCGGAGUCGAACACGAGGUGCUGACCGACUUAGUUCAUUUACUUGCACAGUUCAUUUUAAAAAUUUUCAGACAGCUGGCUAACUGUGUCGCUUUCACCUUAAAAAUCAUAUCUUGAGUUCCACAACUCGAAAAUCAGUUUCGUGAUUUUUCCCUGAAACUAGACUCAUAUAUGCAUCUACAAUUUUUUUUCUAUAAUUUUUGGUCUGGCAAAUUAGUACAGUUUAUUAGUUAAAGUCUCCCAUGUUACAGGGAUCGACUACACUGACCUUCGCGCAUAACGACUUGGAUAUCUCCCUGUACAGGGCUUCAAUGCUGAUGCCGUUUAUUUCUAUAGAAAUUACACUCAAAGAGGAAUCUAUAAAUAUAUGGCAUGACUCCUAAUUAUCUCUAGUUAAUUUAUAAUAAAUUUCCAAAGUCGGAACAGGGAAUCCAGAAACCGUUCUGGCCCUGUUUCACGAAAACCUAAAUAUCUCUUAACAUACAAGUCAUAUGACUGUUUCGUUUCUUCCAUAUGAAAGUAGAUUCAUCAAGGUUCAUUUAAAUAAUUUAUUCACUAUUUAAUUCCAUUUAUACUAUUUUUAGUGAUUUUUUCACAUCCACAUCGCUGCUGCUAUUAGCAUCUGCCUUUAAGGUAGACUUUACCUAUUUCAUAGUUUCCAUGAUUCAAUUAGCCCUUUUUUUUUGCAUACAUAGCACAAAGUAUAAUCAUGAUUAACCGUUCCAAUGGCUAAUCGUUUCCAAACAUUUCCAUACCUCUUAGUGAUCAACAUACAAAACGAUUAUAGUACUAUGCUAAAAACAUAUAUAAGCCAUUUUCGCAUGGCUAUCCAAAUUUACACAAAAUCUAUGGGUACAUGACCAACAACAAGAAGGGUAGUCCUAUACAUGCCAUUUCAAAGUUCAACCAAAAUUGUACCAAAAGGGGGCUUUGAUAGUGUGGGAGACUUCGACUUCCAAAAAUCCCGAGUCCGAUAGCUGACGAGCCAAAAUCUAUAAAACAGAGAAACAAAGAAACGGAGUAAGCAAUUUAUGCUUAGUAAGUUUUGAGCAAGGGAUUCCAGCACAACAAAAGUAUAGCAUUCAUAUAGCUAAACGGAUAAUUUCAUAUGCACAAAUUCUCAAUAUCAUACUUACUUCACAUUACCAACCCUUAUGUUCAUACACAAAAGAUCAACUUAGCCAAAGGCCGGUAGCUCAUUUAUCGACUGAGCGAAUACAGAUUUGUAAGGGAUCAACUAAUUCAAAGCACACACGAAACAUACCUCAUCGCUGGGAUUUUACGAGCGUAUUAAUUUAAAUUUUUACAGCAAGAUCGCUCGUUCCCAAAUCAAGCAUCUUCGAGGUUUAGCCGGAUAUAACCACUCGCACAAGGCCUUCGGGUCUUAACCCGGAUAUGGUCACUAGCAUAAGUGCCUUCGGGACUUAGCCCGGAUAUAGUCGCUAGCACAAAUGCCUUCGGAUCUUAGUCCGGAUGUAGUCGCUUAGCACAAAAGCCUUCGGGACUUAGCCCGGAUAUAGUCGCUUAGCACAAAAUCCUUCGGGACUUAGCCCGGAUAUCAUUCGAGUAACCAUGCACAUAUAUCAAUAAAUCAUGACACAUUUAUAUUUCAUUUUCAUUACCAAAGCUCAAACACAAGACACUUAUCACAUUUACAAUUUCGGCUCAAUAGCCACAUACAAGAGCAUGAUUUUGAUUUACUUAAGACAUAGUCUAAUCGAAUCAUAAUUUAAGUCCCAUUACUCGAAAACUUACCUCGGAUGUUGUCGAACGAUUUCGAUGGCUAUUCGACCACUUUUUCCUUCCCUUUAUCGGAUUUAGUUCCCCUUUGCUCUUGAGCUUAAUUUAACAAAUAAAUUGAUUUAAUCAUUUGAGCAUCGAAAAGAGGAACUCAAGGCACUUGGCCCACAUAUAUCCAUUAGACAUUAAAGUCACAUAUGUACGGAAUCAUGAAUCAAACUCAACACAUUAGUUAAUACUCUCCUUAGCCGAAUUUUCUAAGUCAAGAUAAAGCCUUCAAUAUGCUUACCUAUGGCCGAACAACAUAUCAACCUAUGUACUCAUUCAUGUGGCCGAUUAUGCAUGUCUAUGUUGAGGCCAGUUAUAUACUCAAUACCACACACAAAUGGCAUACCUUUUACUAACUAAUGCAUUACAUAUUAUAACUCAAUACGCAUCCAUCAUGUACUCCAUAACCGAAACACCAUCAUAUGUAAAUAUAUACCUUGAGAUAUUGUAUAUGUCAUACCAAUACGUCAUGUGCAAACAUAUAUAUAUAUGUGCAAGAGCCGAAUCUCAAAGUUGAUUAUAACUAAACAUGAACAUAAAUCCAAAACACAAAUCUUACCUACCAUGCAAUAAGCAUAAAUCAUACUUAUGGAUAUACCAUGGCCGAAUACAUCACAACACCAUACCAUUUCAAUUUUGGUCAUGGUUAAACAAAGAACUUAAUGUCUCACUCAAAAAUGCUAAAAAGAAAAUCCAAGAGUCAUCAAUCCACCAUCACAUGUGUCAUUAACAAGCUUCAUAUUUAGCAUGCAAUGGCAUUAACACAAAAUCCACCUAGGCCGAAUAUCAUCCCCAUGACAUAGCAAAGAUUUGAACCAUGGGCUAAUUAGAACUCAAGCUAGCAACUAAAAACAUGCAUAAAUCUCAUGGCACAACCUCAAACAUACCUUAAUCUAGAUACAAGUAUGGCCAAACCUCCUCCUAAUCCUCUUCCAAACCAAACAUGAAGCAAGAACUCCUUCCUUCUUCCUUAGAAUUUUCGGCCAAAAGAAAUGAAAAAGGAUGAAUAAAUUUUUUUUUCUUUUCUCCAACUCACGGCAAUUGGGGGGGGGGAACACUCACACACAUUCCUUUUUUUUUGUUUUCUUCCUUCCAUUUCUUAUUAGUUUAUUGCCCAUGCUUCUUAUUUUAAUUUUCCAUUAACACAACAUGUUUCAUGACAUGUUUUGCCCAUCAUCCCUUGUCAUGGCCGGCCACUAAUACUUAAAUGGGGGGAAAUUGACAUGCAAGUCCACCCCUUUGAUUACAUGCACUAUUAGGCCACUUGCAUUUGCCUAGCACAUUUCUAAAUUUUCUCACAUAAGUCCUAUCAACUAAAUUCACAUGCAAUUAACUAAAUCGAAGCUUAAAACUUUCACACAUUUAUAUUCACAUAUUUUAGGUAAUAAUUAUCACAUUCAAAUAAUUUGGUGACUCGGUCUAGUGGUCCCGAGACCGCUUUCCGACUAGGGUCACUUUAGGGCUGUCACAGAUAUGUUUUAUCCAUAUAAAAUAUAUUUAAGAUCUUUUUCGUAUAAGUUGACUGAUAGACAUGAAUUUCAUCUUUUAAAUGCUCGAUCUGUAGGCCAAAAUAAAAUUUUGUUUUUCCGAGGUCUUUUAUUUCAAAUUCUUUCUUUAAAUAAUUUACUGCAUUUUGAAGCUCUUCAGGAGUUCCAAUAAUAUUUAGAUCAUCAACAUAAAUAGCAAUUAUCACAAAGUUUGAUUCAGACCUUUUUAUAAAAACACAUGGGCAGAUUGGAUCAUUUUUAUAACCUUCUUUUAACAAAUAUUCACUAAGACAAUUGUACCACAUACGUCCUGUGACACCCCUAAUUUGACCCUAUUCGAAAAGUGGUUUCAGGACCACAAAAUCGAGUCAUAAAAAUAAUUAGCCGUCAUAUUUUAUGACUAUUAUAUGUGAAUACGAAUGUGUGAAAGUUUUAAGCUUUGAUUUAGUAAAUUGCAUGUGAAUUUAGUCAAUAGGACUUAUGUGUGACACUUUUGAAAUGUGAUAGGUCAAAACAUAAGGAUCUAUUGGUGCAUGAAAUAAAAAGGGUGGACUUGCAUGUCAAUUUCCCCCCUAAUUAGUAGUGGCCGGCCAUGAGCAUGAGAGUGGACAAAAUGUUAUGGGGUGAAACAUGUUGGAAACAUGUUGUGUUAGUGUGUUAUGGGAGAAAGAAUAUAAUAAAGGGUUAGUAAUAAAGAAAUGAAAAGGGAGGGGUGAUGAGAACAAAGUUGUCUCAUCCAUGUUCCCCCCCCCAUUGCCGUGACUUGAGAAGGAAAGAAAAGAAGAAAUCGGUUCUUCUUGGCCGAAAUGAAAAGAGGAAGAAAGGAAUGAAGCUAGAAAGGAGAGGGCAGCUGCAUGUAGUGGAAAACCAUGAAAUUUGUUUGCUUAGAAGUUAGAAUUUUCAAGUAGAAGGGUAACUCUUCUAAACUCUCCCUUGCCCAUAGCUUUUCGUUGACAAAUUCUGGUUGCAUUGUUGAUUUGAGCUUGACGAAUAUGUGGGAGAAGAGAAGAUUUUCUUUUCUAGUUGCAAAUGUUGCAUGUCUAGUAGAUGAAGAGUUUCUCACUUGUGUUAAAAGAAUUUAGUGAAUGCUUGUGUUGUUAUAAUUCAUUUUUGUAACUUUGGGGUUGAUUGUAUUUAGCUAACAAGGUAGGAGAAGGUUGUAGUAGAAAAGGGAAAGAGCAAAUUGAAUAGGUAGAAUCGGUGUUGGGAACCUUAGUGAGCUUUCCUUGAACUUUUAUUCUCUUGUGUUUGACAAUUGUUGAAAAUGUUAAAUCAUUGUCCGAAUUUUACCUUGUUGGUAUUGUUCAUUGCUGCCCUGCUUAUGCUAUCUGAUUGUGGUAUUGAUGCUGUUUGAAUAUUGUGUGGUUAAUGACGUUCAGAUAGUGGUGUAUUUAUGUUGUUUUAAGGACUGUUGUUUAGUGUUUUAAUGCAGCAAAAAAAUUGUUGUUUAGACGACAAUUAAUGUUAUCUAAGUGAUUGUAAAUUUAUAUUAAUAAUGGUUGAAGUUGUUAAUGAACAAAUGAUAUAUAAAUGAGCUAUUUAGAUGUUAAAGAAUGUUGUCUAAAUGGGUGAAGACUAUGAUGUCUAAAACUGCUAUUAAUUGUUUUACAAGCUGAAAUUUAAGGGGAUUGAAUGCCGAAAUUAAUUGUACAUGAAGGUUAAAGUUUUUGUAUCCGAUGCUUCAAUCCAAGCUGAGUGAUGGUGUUCGAAAGUGCUCUGAGGCUUUAGCUUAAGAGCAAAGAGGAUCAAAGUUGGAUAGGGGAAAAAGAGAAUGUAAACGAAUAGCCGUGGAUACCUAAUCGUCGACCACUUCCGAGGUAAGUUUUAAAUGAUCAAACGUUGAGUAAAUUCAAUCAAAAUAGGACAUAAUGAGUUGAGUUAAUAAGAUAUGAUGUGGCCAUGAUAUGUCUUAAACUCAAAAGGUAAGUUCAUAAGUGUUUGGACUUGGAAAUUUAAGAGCAAAUUGUAAUAAUUUGCUUUGGACAGCAGCAGUAACGUGAUUUUAGAAAAUCACUAUAAAUUGUUGGCGUGGAAUUAUAGGCUGAAUAAAAUAUGUAAUCAAAGCUUAGUUAGUCUAGUUUCUUAUAAAAGAGACCAUGGAAGCAAAUAAAUUUCCUAUAAAGAGAUAUUUAAAGUUGUGUGGGACUGUGUCAGAAUGACUCUGAAAUCCCUUGUUCUGUUUUUAGAAAAUCAUUAUAAUUUGUAAAAAAAUGGUUAUAAGAUAAAAUUUAUAUGCUUAGACUCCUUAAUGAGUCUAGUUUCAAAUGAAAUCAAAUACAACACAUUUUGAAUUCCGUACAAUGAGAAAUUUGAUUCGUAGUGAAGAGUAGUCAGAUUAGUCAAACAGUGAAACAGGGGAAACUUUAAGAAAAAUCUGGUAUUGAUUGGCCAAACCAAAAAUUCUGAAAAAAAAUCUGUAGAUGGACAUGUGAGUCUAGUUUCAGGAAAAAAAAUUACGGAACUGAUUUUUGAGCUUUGGAACUCAAGAUAUGAUUUUUAAGGUGACAGUGACGCAGUUAGCCAACUGCCUGGAAACUUUUAAAAGUGGACUAUGUAAGUAAAUUAAUUAAGUCGGUUAGCACCUUGUGUUCGACUCCGACAACGGUCUCGGGUACGGGGUGUUACACGUCUAGAUUGUUUUAAUCCAUAUAAACUUUUCUUUAAUCAGAUUGAGCAAUUUUCUCAGGAAACUCUAUAUCCUUCAAGGAUUUUAAAUCCUUCUGGGAUUUUCAUAUAAAUUUCACCAUCAAGUGUACAAUACAAAUAGGCUGUAACAACAUCCAUUAGACGCAUGUCAAAUUUUUCAUAUACUGCUAGACUAAUAAGGUAUCUAAACGUGAUUCCAUCCACCACAGGAGAAUAUGUCUCUUCAUAAUCAAUGUCGGGUCUUUGCGAAAAUCCUUGUGCUACAAGUCGUGAUUUAUAUGUUACGACUUCAUUUUUCUCAUUUUGUUUUCACACAAAUAUCCAUUUAUAUCCUACCGGCUUUACAUAUUUAGGUGUUUGGACUACAGGUCCAAAAACCUCACGUUUAGAAAGUGAAUUUAAUUCUGCUUGAAUUGCGUCUUUCCAUUUUGACCAAUCUUUUCUAUUUCUACAUUCCUCAAUAGAUUUAGGCUCAAGAUCCUCAUUUUCUUUUACUUUUAUAGAAACAUUAUAAGCAAAAUUGUUGUCGGCAGCUAUAUUUUUUUGGUUCCAUCUUUUUCCUGAAGUAACAUAACUUAUUGAGAUUUCUUUGUUAUUACCAUUUUCAGGUACCUGGACCUCUUCUGGGGUUUUUUGAUUAGUUAUAUCUUUGGCCUCUUCUAGGGCACUUGCCUCCACAAUAUUACCAUCUCGAAUAAUUGAUCCGUUUUUUUUACGAGGAUUUUUAUCUUUGGAACCAAUUGGCCUUCCACGCUUCAGGCGUGGAUUACUUUCUUUUGCACUAACAAUUUGCCUUAUUGGGAUAUCAAUUCUUAUUGGAGCAUUGUCAGCUGGUAUGUGAUAUUUUGUAAUUCUCUUUAGGUCAGUAAAUGAAUUUGGCAGUUGAUUGGCAAUGUUUUGCAAAUGUAUAAUCCUUUGAACUUCUUGUUCACAUUGACUUGUACGAGGAUCUAAUUGAGAUAAUGAUGAUCCAUUCCAUGUAAUUUCUUUUACCAGUUGUCUUUUCUCUUCCCCUAAUGUUGGGAAUGUUGUUUCAUCAAAAUGACAAUCAAUAAAUCAUGCAAUAAAGAAAUCUCCAGUUAAUGGUUCAACAUAUUUAAUUAUAGAAAGAUAUUCAUAACCAACAUAUAUUCCCAACCUCCUUUGAGGACCCAUAUUUGUGCUUUGUGGUGGAGUAAUUGGAACAUAUACUGCACAUCCAAAAAUUCUAAGAUGGGAAAUAUUUGGCUCCUGGCCAAAAGCCAAUUGUAAUGGGGAGUAUUUAUUAUAACUUGUUGGCCUUAAGCGCACAAGUGCUGCUACAUGCAAAAUAGCAUAUCCCCAAGCUAUAACAGGGAGUUUUGUUCUCAUAAGCAAUUGUCGAGCUAUUAGUUAGAGGCAUUUGAUAAAUGAUUCAGCUAAAUCAUUUUGUGUAUGAACAUUAGCUAUAGGAUGUUCAACUUUUAUACCAAUUGACAUACAAUAAUCAUUAAAAGCUUAGGACGUAAACUCACUAGCAUUAUCAAGAUGAAUAGUUUUGAUUGCAUAAUCUGGAAAUUGUGCUCUUAAUCAAAUUAUUUGAGCAAGUAGUCUCACAAAUGUCAGGUUGCCAGUCGAUAAUAAGCACACAUGUUUAUUGUUUUGCAUAAUCUUUAAUUUUUGAUGAUGAUUUCAUUUCAACUAUUGGCCUGAAGAGUUUCUCUUAUGUUGUUUAUUGUGUUGGUAAGUCUGUUGGUGAGGAUAGAUUAAAUCGAAGUAUACAAAAUUUGAAUAAAGAAUUUUUAUGUAAAAAACCCAAUUUGUUUGAUUGUGAUGGUUAUGUGAAUUCUUUACAUCAUUGUGUGAAAUCCUCAAGUACGUGCAUGCUUGUUCGGAUGAAUUUUAAGAGGUUUGAUUGUUUGAAUGUGUGUACGCUAAAAUCCUCUUUGUUUAGCAUGUGUAAUUUAUUGGUGGAAAAGAAACUUUUGCUGCAUUUUGGAAUGAGUGAUCAAAACCAUGUGUUUCAAUCCGGAGCAUGUUUCCCUAUGUUGAUAAGUGAAUGUGAGCAUCAUAAUUUUAUUUUGAAUAAAUGUGUUGCACCUUUCCAUUUGCUCCAAGUUUUAUCAUUAUUUUUUAAAACAAAACAUGUGAAUUUUGAUGUCUUACGAAGUCAAAAUCAAAUCUUUGAUUCCGAAGGUUGUUCUAUAUUAUGGUUUAAAGGAUUUGAGCGUGUUUUGCAUGGUUAUGACUUUCCAUUGCUUCGUGUUCCUACCAUGUUGCCGGCAAUGAAAUGUUUAACACAAAUUGAAAUGGUAAGAGAGAACCUUGUUUUUGAUCCCGGUGAUUUUAGUUCUAUAUUAUUGUUCAAGGGACUUGAACCAUGGAAUUUUGUUUUCCAAGAUUAUAUCUUUCGAAUACUUUGUGAUUCUGGUUUGUUGUCAUCGAUGGACUUCUUGAAUCAUUAUGGCAAGGUAAGACCAAUUUCUAUUUUUGAUCCCGGCAUUGGUUUAUGCAUCUCAAUUUUGAAUAAGAUUCUGAAAAUUUAUUUUGUGUUUAUAAUUCAAAGUGUCACUAAUUUAUUUCAUUUUCGUGUUGGUGACAAUUUGAAAUGGUAUCCUUCCAAAGAGGGAAGGUAUCCAAACAGCCUUCUUUCUUCUCGAACCAUUUGUGAUUCUCACAUUUUUGGAAGCGACUUUGUUAGGUUUAUGAAUAAAGAGGGUCGUGAUCUAGAAAAGUUUUUCGCGAGCAAAUGGUCCAGUUUGAGGACAAAUCAUUUUCAAGAGGGAGGGAAUGAUGCGAUCCCGGCCGCAUCAUGUUUUGAUACACCUUGACGACAUCGAAAUUGGCCCAAUCACAAGAGGCCCAAGUGUAAAAUGAAGUUUUGUAAUUUUAGUUUGUUAAUUUGGUUGCUGGAAAAUAAGGACUUUGAUUCAUUUAUUUUAGUUACUUUAGUUAUUUUAGUUUGUGUCUUUAAUUAUGUCAUAAUUUGAGCAUCAUUAGUAUGAGUCUUUAAUUAUGUCAUAGUUUGAACAUCAUUAAUAUGUGUUCUGCAUUUAAUAAAGUCAUGCAUUAUGUAACUCUCAUGUUAGUUAAGUUUGCAUCAGAAAUUAUGACAUGCAUUAUGUAACUCCUAUGUUAGUUAAAGUUUGCAUCAUUAAAUGUUAGUUAAAGUUUGCAUCAUUAAAUUAAGUCAUGCAAUAAGUAACUCAUUUGUUCAUUUAGUUUACAUCUUAAACCAUGCAUUUAAGCAUCUUAGUUGUUAAAUAUGUUUAAGUUUGUUUAUAUAAGUAUGCUAUUUAAUUUGGCUGUUACUUUUUAUUGCAUAAAUUAAAGUGUGUUUAUUUUCAUUUUGAAUAAGGUGAUUUGAGUUGCAUGUUCAUUAAUAAAUUUGUGUAUGAGUGUUUAUAGUGUGCUGAUUCUUAUGUGUUUCUUUAAUGCUUAAUUAUCUACCUUGUAGGUGACUAUUCAUAUGGCUAAUUGACUUUUCAAGUUUGGACGUUUUUCAAGCCUUCAAAGAUCAUCAUGGUGGCUGUUCAAAUGGUCCAAGAGUGUCUCUUCAAACCUGUUCAGUUUUAAAGCAUUCAAAGCUAAUUAAGGAGCCAAUUAAAGAGAUGAAUGCAGAAGUCUUUGGAUAUUCAGUUUAAGGGAGAUGAAGGGACACCAAACAACACAUUAAGGGUUCAUUAAGUCAUCAAUAAAGUGAAGAGACAUGCCUUUUCAUCUACUUCAGAAUCAAGUGAAGAGACAUAACUAUUGGCUUCCCUACAUGAAUUUAAAACGAAAUUAAUGCCUGUAAUAACCUUAGUUAAUUGCUGAAGAUAAAAGGUCUCACAUAGGCAUUCGAAUAGUCAUAAUAAUGCCUAUAAAUAAUUUGUAAGAAAACACUGUUUUGGUUAGACAACUUUUGCUCAAUUUAUGAAUUAUUUGAUACUUGUGAGAAUUCAAAUCUCCUUGUUUCUCUCUAUGACUGAUAUGACUUAUCAAGCUAAGUCUUGUGGCGUCAUUUCCAUCAUUGUUUAUCGAACUUAUCACUUCUAAAUGUGGCAUUUAACAUACCUCUGGUUUCUAUCUAGCUAGAUAGUGGGUCAAGGUUUCUUUGCUAUAUUCCCAACCAUUUUCACCUAAGAGUUGUUUAAGACUCGGGUCAACAAUUUCCUAUAUUGUUGGUUCUAUCUUAGCCCUUAGCCAAUCCUUAUUCAUCUUUCAUCUAAACCAUUUUUGUUACCUUUUUUUGAACCAAUUUCUCAACCUCUUCCAAUUUAUUUUGAAAACAAUCCAAGCCUUACUUAAUUUCACGAUCAGGUAAUCUAAACGACUUGAAUCAACACCAAACCAAGUUCGUAUCAACCCAAGUCCUUCAUGUUAAACUAUUGUGCUAACACAGUUUAAUCGAUGACAAUUCUCUUACAUCAUUUCCAAUAAGUAGAAUAUCAUCGACAUACAAAACAAGAAAUACCACUUUUUUGUCCUUUAUACGCUUAUAAACACAAGAUUCAUCAGUGUUUUGCUCAAAUCCAAAAGUCUUAAUCAUUUGAUCAAAUCUUUUAUUCCAAGAGCAGGACGCCAGUUUGCAAACUUUUUACUCCUUUCCUCUGACAACAUAACCAAUGAGUUGAGCCAUAUAAAUAGUAUCAUCAAGAUAGUCAUUUAACAAUGUUGUCUUGACAUCCAUUUGCCAAAUCUCGUAAUUGAGAGCAACAAUAAUGGAUAAGAGUAUGCAGAUAGACUUGAGCAUGGCUACUAGAGAAAGGGUCUCAUCGUAAUCGAUGUAUUCUUUUUAUGAGUAGCAUUUCCCUACAAGUCUAGCUUUGCCUGUUUCCACUUUCCCUUUCGUAUUUCUCUUCUUCUUGAAGGUCCACUUACACCCUUUGGGCUUAAUCACAAUCAGUAAGUCUACAAGUUUCUACAUCGUAUUGGAUUUCAUAGAAUCCAUCUCGACAUCCAUGGCUUGUUUCUAGAUCUUCGAAUCAAUGUCCUGUAUAGCCUCAUCGUAAGUGAGUGGAUCGUCAUCCUCAUGAUUGGCUUCUAUAUUAUAAAUACUACAUCAUAGAUGAAUUAGUCCAGUUUGUUAGAAACUCUCCCACUACAACGGAUUCACCUAUGUUUUUGAUUAUUUGCAGGUUUUUGUACAACUUUAUCGAGAAUUGAACUUGGUAAUUGUUCUACCACUCCUAAAAAUUCCUUGAGUACCACUUUACUUCGAGGCUUAAAGUUAUCCAUGUAACUUUCCUCAAGGAAAGUAGCAUGAGUAAAAACUUUAAUCGCAUUAUCUUUCAGAUUAUAGAAUAAUCCUCUCUUUGUUCCUUUUGGAUAUCUUACAAACAUGUACAAUUUUGCCUGUGCAUUCAACUUCUUUGAAUCCUUAUCCAAAAUGUGUGCUAGAUUACCCCAUAUUUUAAAGUGAUUUAGAGCAGGUUUCUUUCCAUGCCAUAGUUCAUAAGGUGUCCUACAAGAAGACUUGGUUGGCACAUCAUUCAGAAUAUUGCAAGCUGUUUGUAUCGCAUAUUCCUAGAAGGAAGUAGAAAGUUGAAAAUAGCUUAACAUUGAACAAACCAUGUCAAGCAAGGUUCUAUUCCUUCUCUCAGCUGCACCAUUCUGUUGUGGACUGCCUGACACAGUAAUUGAGAUAGAAUCCCAUUCUCUAUGAAGUAUCCUAAGAACUCAUCGGACAAAUAUUCCCCACCUCAGUUACACCGAAGAUUCUUUAUAGAUAAACCUAAUUGUUUUUCCACUUCUGCACAACUCUCAAACUUUAUUAAAGGUUUCACUUUUGCGGUGCAUUAGAUAAACAUAUCUAUAUUGAUAAUAGUCAUCGAUAAAAGUCACUUAAUGAUCAUAACUUCCUUGAGCACUGAUGCUCAUAGGACCACAUAAAUCAGUGUGCACAAGUUCUAAAGGUUGGUUGCCCCUUAUACCUUUCACAUUAAAAGACCUCUUAGUCAUUUUACCUUCCAAGAAUGAUUCAUAUUGUGGAAGACUAACUUCUUUAAGCAUACUUAAGGGACCAUCUUUCACGAGUCUAGUGAUUCUUUCUUGGUUAAUAUGACAAAGUCUUAAAUGCCAUAGGUACCCCUCAUCAGAGUGAGAAGUUUGAAGCAUCGAGUAGUUAUUUGGUUUGAUAAAGUAGAGAUUGUUUUCCAUCCAUCCGUUACAAAUUAAAGAAUGAUUUCUGUUAAUAGCAAUCUAUUUACUGAAUGUCACGGUAUAACAGUCAUAAAAUAAACAUUUUACAUAAAUUAAAUUCCUCUUAAAAUAAGGUGUAUAAAACACGUUCUUUAAAACAAUCUUCCUAAAAGUAUCAAAGUGUAAAAUAAUUUUCCCCACUACUUCGGCUGAAACGUAGCUCCCAUAUAUUGUCCGCAAUGAAAGGCUCUUAUCACGCAUCAUUUCGUUGGACCCCUGUAAAGAAACACACACAUGGUUAGUGGCUCUAGAAUCAAUAACCCAGUUAUCAAUUGAUUCUUUCACUAAGCAAGCUUCAACCAUAAAGAGUUUCAUACUUUUUCCCUUUUCGACUAAGUAAUCCAAAUACUCUUUAUAGUUUGAUUUGAAAUGUUAUUUUCUAUUGCAGAAGAAAUAUUCGAUCUUUUUAGGAUCUUUUGACUUCUUAGUCUUGUUCCUAUCCACACGAGGUGGAACUGAAGACUUGAUAGAUUUCUUCUUUUCCUUACCUUUUUGUUUCCUCUUAGAGGACGAGGGGUCGAUAGUUAAGUUUGCCUUAAGUCUCUCCUAAGCCGGCUUACCACCAUUCAGCAUUAACUUAUAGGAUUGUAAUUCCUUUAUGAGUUGAGUCAAGGUAAGCGCCUUGUUCCCUAAGUUGUAAGCAGCCCUAAAGCCAGCAAACUUUAUGGUUAAUGAUUUGAAUACUAUUUCAAUCUGAGUGUUCACGUCUAGUUCAGCCUCAUUGUCCGCCACUUCUGCAAAGAAUCCCAUAAGCUUAAACAUAUGUUCUUUGACCAGAGUGCUGGUUUUCUAUUGAGAAUUUGUAAUAGCGGAUUGUCGAGCCAAUGUUACUUGGCCUUUGAGCAAAUCCUUCAAAUUUGUCAUGAUAUCUUUGGUGGUACAGAAAUUCUUGUGUUGCUUUUGCAACACACUACUCAAGCUUGCUAACAUAUAACUUUGAGCAAUCGAAUCAAAAUCUCUCUAGCGAUUUCUCGCUUUGGGCUGAGCUUUAGGAGGACACGUUUCAUCAAGAAUGAAUUUUUGUUUCUCACAAUUGAGAACUAUUAACAAGUUCCAUUUCCAUUCUCGAAAGUUAUCCCCAUUUAAUUUAUUCUCGAUAAGAAUGCUAAUAACAGGAGUAGGAGACAUAUUUGAAUUGAAAAAAAAUAAAUAUUUCACUAAUUACUAUCUUUGUAUUAAGAAAAUAUUUUUCAUUUCAGCAACAUAUCAAGAAUGUAGUAUGAUGCAUGCGUCUUGCAUUAAAACCUUAAAAAAAAUUAUUCUUACGACUAUUCUCACACCCAUCAACCAUGUCAUCUUGGGGUCCCAUGAUUAACUAGUAAGAACAUGGAUUACAUCCAACCAGUUCAUGAAUCUUAAUUCUCAAGACUCCACACAAACUAACGACCAUUUAACAUUUGGCCAUCAUCUCUAGCUUAAAUAUUGUUUCUUGGGAAACUAUUUAAUAAGAGAUGAUCUUGAGUGUGUAACCAUUGACUCAACACCUUUCAUGAACAUGUUCUUAUUUGUGAGUCCUCUUGGGACAAUAUCUCUGAAAGUCAUGCAUGACUAGUUGUCCUUAAAAGGAAAUCUCAUCUAGUGAACCCACACGACAAAGUUUACCUUGGGGUGAGGCCAGGGUAGGAACCAACUCGAAACUUUAUCAUGCUAUCACUUAGGGACUAUCAAUGGAGGUUGUAGGUCUUGUUCAAAGACCUUCUCCCACUCAAUAUUUAAAAACAUGCAAGGUUUUUUAUCCCAAAUUUCAAGAAUGACCAUACAAUAUUCCUAGUGGCAUUCUUACCAAAUCUAAAUGACAUGCUUCCAAUAUAUGCAUGGCGUGCUAUAGAAAUUUUAUAAUAUCCAUUCAUAAAAAUGAAUAAAUCAAUCAUAAAAACAAAAAAUUUUGAUUCUCCGCAGUUUUUCUUUUAAAGGAAAAACCGAAUAAGUGAAUGCAAACCGUACACCAGGUAGGGUCCCAGGAAAGGGAGGUGAGUCAAAUUCGACCGCUUAAAAACCAAGUCUUUCCUAGCCAGAGUCAAUCCUAGACAUGCACCUUCUCAUUACCACACUUCUCACAGUUAUCGAAUAACCUAAAAAAGUGAAUAGAACAAUACAACACAUGUAUUUUCUCAUUACCACACUUUUUAUUUUUAAUCGAUCAACUGUGGAUCAUCUCAUAUAUAUAUCACAAUUAUAUCAUUACAUAAUAUAAAUAUUAUAAACAAUUAUAAAACAUAUAUAUAAUGUGAUAGGUAAUUAAAAUAAAAUUGCCAAUCAAGAUUUCCAUGGUUCUAUUUUUAGAGAAUAAAUGGAAAAAUAAAAUUACAUAAUUUUUCACCACAAAGCAUUCCUUAGGUCUUCAACUGCCAUCACAUCUUUUCCUCGUCAUGGACUCCUUUUGAAAAAAUUACAUUUAAAUUUUCUAUGUAUUUCUGGCUCACAAAAAUUCUAAGAAUUUUAAAAAAAUAGCCUUGCAUGGAGAUGAUAGUCCACGAUCUAUUUCCAAAGAACCACAAGCUCGGUAAAAAACAAUUGUAUAACAAAUAUAUAAUAUCACAUUCAUUCUCAUCUAUAACUCAAAACAUGCAUAAGAUUUAAAGAAUGUCACUUUCUAUGUAAUCAAACCAUUCAAGAAGAAGAGAAAUUUAUUUUGAUUAUAUGUUUAUACUUGUAGACAGAACACAACCUGGCUCAGAAAUCAAUUGUUGGGAAAAAAAACAAGUUUGAAAAUGCAGCGAAAAAUAAAUUUAGGGAAAAACUAGAUUUUUAAAUUUUUUUCCAAAACAAGAUCUUGGUUGUGAUAUUGAAAAUAAUAAACAUUUAAUCAAAAUUGUACCUUUUCAAUUCCUCUAGGAUGAGCGCUUCGACCAAUAGUCUUCUCCGCUAUCCUCAAACUCACAUCUGCCGAGUGUGAGCUCGCUUUGAAUCAGAAAUUUUUCAGAAAAAUUACCAGUGGGAUAAUUUUGAAAUUUCUCUAAACUUUUAGUUCAAGUUGUAAAUCAGGAAAAUAUCUUUAGAAAUUUUCUGGAAUAAUCUCUUUAGAGAAUUUUCUCUCUACAACUUUCUCUUGAAUUCAAGUGUGUAAAUAAUGACCCGAGACUCUUUUUAUAUAGGGAGAUUUUAGAGAGUUCAACUAUAAUUAAAUUUAAUCACUUUAAUGUUAAAUUAAUAUAAUAUUUAUCAAGAUAAAUAUAAGAUUAAAUCUUAUUAAAAUAAUAGAAUGCAUUAAAUUAAAUUUAAUAUUAAAAUAUUAUUAUUUUUUGAAUAAUUAAUCUGAAAUCAAAUUCUCUGUUAAAGUCUCAAUAGGAGUGUAAUCUUUCCACUACUCAACCAUCAAUGACAAAUCGUUGCUGGCCACCGAGACACCAUUGUCGGAACUGUCGUCACCACCAUGUCCAAUGAUGUAGGUGCGACACCCCGAGCCAGUUCAGUCUGAGUCAAUGGCAACCUAACUGGUCCGGUCUAGCCACCAGUUGGACCGUUGACCCGAUUUCACAUAUGGAGCCUGGUUCAACCAGUUUUUGGGUCUUGGUCUUGAUUUUGGGCUCCCGAGCCCAAUUUAUGAUCUCAAGUCCAUUUUUUAAGUUCAAUUAUCCAUUAGGCCAAUUGUCUAACUUGAAAAUUAACUUUUAAAAAUAUAAUAUUAAUUUUAAUUGAUUUGAUUAAUUUAAUUUUACUUGAUCAAAAUUAAUUUUUCCAAAAAUCACUUAGGUUUUCCAAAUUAAUUUUUCAAGAAAAUUUUUUAAUCAAAUUCUCUAGUUGAACAAUUCUUACGACCACCUAAUUUAAUUCCACAUCGAAUAAAUUGACUCAAUUAAAUUAUUCCCAAUGUCGUAGAAUUUUUUUCUUAUACAAAUGAAGUCCGAUCGAGCUUUUGUUGAGCUAGCGGAAGCACCAAUCGGACAUAUACAAUUAGGCUCUAGUGAUUGCAAUUAUGUCCAGAAGCAUUGUUCUGAUAAUUCACAAUUACUUAAUCCUGGAGUCAGUCUACAAGAAGUACCAUGAUUGAAAACUCCUUAUUGUAUACUUUUUAUGAAAACAAUUCAUCCAAUUGUUUGUCUAAUAACCUCGUCAUGUGUGUGUUACCCUUAUAUGAUAUCUUUGAUUCAUUUAAGUUAAAUCCGUUCACUCAAUACAAUCCAAUUUUAUCUCAUUGUCACCAUUAUGUCUUCUUAAUGAUUCAUAUGAUCACUGUCAACAAAUGACUGCGAUAAAUUACUCGUUCGAGAACUAGCGACCCAUGGUCACGUUCCAUAUUUAUCAAUCCACACAAUGCCAAUGAGAGGAUAUUAUUAACUCUUCAAUUAAGCUAUGAAUUCCACUAUUGCUAGUAAAGCCAUGCCAUACACAAGUCAUGUACCCAAUAUACCGGCUAUAGGCUCGAUCAUCUUUAGAGCAUAAGCUUCCAUUUAUAUCAAAGCACAUGAGUUGCAUAUACAUGGUUAGUGACUAACUCAGGAUUUAGGUAAAUAAUACCAUGAACGUCACAAGUGAAUUAAUUUACAAAUGGAUUCAAAAUUAAUUUAGCUUGAGUCCAGUCCAUUGUAUCAUUCUUCCAAUGAAUACAUCUAUGUCUUUACUCAUGGAGUCAACUGCUCUGAUAGCCAAGACUAGACAUCUCCUCAAUUGGAAUUGUAGACGACAUAAUAAUCCUUCUCAGUAUUUGAAUUAAAUACCCACUUUGAUUCUUUUACGGGAUUACGAACUCAUUUAGAUUAUCUACUAAAGUAAGUUGUCUUUCUCUCAAAGUAAACAUUCUUUACAAUGCCACUUAUCUUCUGUUUAAACUUUAGACAAUCAACGAGCUAAUAUUUGCUUGUCACAAUUUCGCUAUGCGUGCAAAAUAUAAAAGACAGAAAAUACAAAAAACAUAAUAGUGAAAUGUGAAAUUAACUUUAUUUAUUUAUUUAUCGUUCAAAUAAAUAGAAAAAAGUUACAUGUUUACUAUAAUAUGGGCACAUUUCUCAACACUUGAAUCACAUAGGCGUGUGCUUGGUGGUGUGGUAAACCGUGUAACUCAUUGUUUUGAGCCACACAGCUAUGUGUGACACUAAGGUGGGCUGCACAGGUGUAUGCUAGGUCGUGUGGACCACACGGGCAUGUGCUUGGCUGUGUGGACCACACGGGCCAAUUAUCCAAGCCAUGCGAGUCUACAUGAGUGUGUGGGCCAAAAUCCAGAAUUUUUGCUAAGACCGUGAACGUCGUUCGGGUCGAACGUAGGCCUUUCGUAGUGUCUGUAUAUCAGUAUUAAGUUAUAAAAUUCGGCAUUUGUUGAUAUGUUAGUGUAUAACUCGUUAAUUGUACAUAUGGCUGAUUUGAUAUAAGCUAAGUAAGUAUGAUUUGUUAACUUAUAAUAUACCUCUUUUUGGAUGUGUUUAAGGUAUGUGAUUUAACUAGGGAUGGUUUGUGCUCUGUUAAGUUUGAUGGUUCAUUUUUGUGUUCUCUUGUUGGUUGCAAACACGUGAUAUCUGAAUAAGUUGUUGUGUUGAUACUGAUUCUGAUAUGUAACCAUGCUUGUGACUUCAUGGAAAAUUUAUUGUGAUUCAUUAAGAUUUGAACAAUCAAUCUUGCAAAGCGUGGAAUCCCAUGCCUUCUGUUUCUAUUAUUGUCCGAUAGCAUAUCCUACAUGCUUAUCAUUCUAAUUCUAAAUAUGCAUGCCAUGACACAUUGUGUAGGGUUCGGGAUGAUGUGAAUAGAGGAAAUUUCUCGCAGUUUAAUGAUCUGCAUUAUCUUGUGGUUUAUCCACAAUACUAUCUGGCAACUUGUCUGUAAUUUUGGUGGCACUGUCCACAAUUAUAUGUUGCUGUGAUUUGGUUGGAUGAGUUCUGGGGAACUCUAUUUGGUGUGUAGCGGAGUUGGGUUAUAUCAAAUUUUCCAAAAACGCCACACUAGCAUAAUCAUACAUAUUUUGUUCUGUUAUACGAUGAUUAUGAAAAUCUUUUUAAGACUCUGAUUUGUUCCGCUUUGGUUAUAUGAUUGAUACGAAAUUCUCUAUGUUCUCUGACUUGUAUAUUGUGUUUUGUUUAAUCUUCGUUUGUGUUUAGUUAUUCGCUAAGCUUCAUAGCUCACCCCUUUGUUUUAUCUUUGCCUAUUUAGGUAAACUUCUAACUUAGGACCAGACGACGUGUGGAGGCUCGUAUUGUUUUUUCACUUAAUGUAAAUAUGAUGAAUUUCGUAAUUAUUUGUUUUGAUCUUUAGGGUUUGGAAUCUAUUUUUGAAUUCAUUAUGAGAUUUUGCUUAGUUCGUCAAUAAUUGAUAUUCUCUAACGCGAGAUUGCAAAAUCAUUUAAGUUGAAAAAAUGAACUUCGAUUUUCAAAACUAAAACUUCAGAAAAGUUUUCUGCUGCAAAAUAAGUAAUUUCUUAAGUGUUUUCUAGAAGCAAACAAAUAGCUUUCUAAUGAAUGUUUUUGUAAGUCAUAUUUGUUAAAUAGUUAUUGAAAUCAGUUUUCCAAACGAGUUGAUGUAGUUUUUCUAGAUUUGAUCAGAACUUCUAGGCCGGGUUUGAGGUGUUACAAUUACUUUAGUUUUAUACUAAUGUAAAGGGAUCCCUUUUUGGCAUAUAUAUAUUCGUGCACGCAAUUAUAAAAUAAAUUUUGAAAUUUAAAAGUAAAAUAUGAAACACUAAUUUUUAAAAUUUAAAAUUAUCUAACCCUACCUUUCUAUCAUUAAUUUAAAAAAAAAACUAAUGAGUUAGACAAUAAUUUAUGUCACUUCUCCAAAUUUAAACAACUUCACCUGAGCAAAUUUCCUUCUUUGUGUCAAAACUUUGCUAUAGAACAUAGGUAUAUGUUAAUUUUAGCUUUCAACAUUUACAUCUUUUGGUAUUUUGGUUAUUUUUAUUUUUAUUUAUUUAAAUUUAGCCCUCAACUUUUUAAGAAAAAAGUUGAAAAUUUUUUUAACGGCCAUACUGCCUAAAAUAUUAAUUUUUAAACAAGACCACCCGCAUGACAAACCACAUAUAUUGCAUGUUUUUUUUUAAAAAAAAAUUGUGAACAUUUAUUUUUGAAUUUUGAUUUUUUUUAUAAUUUUAAAUUAUUUGUUAAUGUGGCAUACAAGACAAAUAGUGUGUUUGUGAUUGUGAGAGUUCUCUAUGUACCUUAACAGUGUGUUUGUGUGUGAAUUUUUAAGAGUCGAAGAGAAAUAGAUUUUGAUCCUGAUUGAUGAGAAAUGGAUUUUGAUCCUGAUUGAUCGCAAAAUCUCAAAAAAAUUAUAUUGAUUUUAAAAUCUAGAAAAGUUUUUAUAUUGAUUUUGUUUGAUUUUAAUUUGAGUUGACUAUGGUUUUGACUAUAUGGUGUUACAUUAUAUGUUUGGAGGCAUCUUGAGUGAUACAAUUGAUGGACGAUACCUCUCUAAAGGUUAGGUGACUCCUCUCUAUAUAGUUGAUCUAAGUGGAUAAUCAGUGAUUCUGAAUCCUUCAUUUGGUUUAACUAUGCUUUAAAAAUAAGCUAGUAAGUAUUAAAACCUCUAUGUGCCAAUACUAAACUUCUAUUUGGUAUUGAUACUAAUCCCUUGUUCCUCUAUUUUUCCUUAGAUGUUUGCAUUUAUUGAUACCAUCGAUACUUGAGUGCAGGACAAUAUCAAUAUUUAUCAUCUAAGUACUAGUAUUUGUGGCUCAUGUAUUGAUACCCUUAAUUCAAAUAUCAAUACAUGUAAACAUUGAAGCAAAAAAAAAAAAGCCAAGAAAUCAUGGUAUCGAUACCUAUAAGCAAUCAAGUCUCGAUACAUACCCUAAAGGCAUUAGAACUUCAUAGUUUAGCUUUAAAGCUUAAUUAGACCAAAUAGAUAAACCCAAAGUUACUAAUUAACGACUUAGAUCUGCCAUAUAGGGACACUAAAAUCAUCCAACCUCUAGAAAGACAUCAACCAUCAUCUGUAUCACUAGAGACACCUCUAGGUAUCAAAUAUAACCUCAUUUAACGAGAUCACCACCAACUCAAAUUAGAGAAUACAACAUUGAAGAUUUAUAAAAAAUUUAAUUACUAGAUUAUCUUUUAGAAAUAUAUACAAGGAAAAUGAUUGUAUGAAACUGUGAUUUUAUAUCAUCCAUAUCCCUUUCCAAUCAGGAGAAAAAAUCUAAUUUGUUAUUCUCCUAUUAGGAAGAGAUAUGAAUGAUGUAGAAUCACACUUUCAUAUAAUCUAUUAUCUAUAUACAAAUGCAUAAAUUUAUGAUUAUAAGAUAUUAGAAAUAAUAUUUCCUUUUCCAAGAAAUAAAAUAUGGGUUUCAAUUUUUUUUGUAUUCUUCAAUUUGUUAAUUUAGUAUCCGUUUAGUUCCGUUUAAAAGUAAAAAAUUGCAGACCACUCGACUAAACUGUAUAAAUCAGAUUGGGCUUUAUAAAUUAAUUAAAUUGGAAUAAUUUUUUUUAUUUACUAUCAAAUUAACCAUUUGCACUUGUAUUGUUUUCACAAAAUCAAAAUUAGAUUAAAUAAAAUGUUACUAUCAAUCGAAAAUUUUGAAAUUAUUUUUAAUAAAAACUUAUAAUAAAUUAAAUCUAUUAAAUAAUUUGUCUAGUUUUGAUCUAUUUUUAUUUUAAAAUUAAGAAAUUGAACUUUAUUAACUUUAAUGGCUAUACCAAAACAAAAUUUUUAAGUAAAAAAUACAAAUAGCUUAUCUAAGAUUACCCAUGUGCUAAAUUAAACAAGAAUGGUUAUCAAAUCCAAGUGUCCAAAAUCCAAUUCCGAAUUUUUGAAAAUAAUCCAAUCUGAAAUCAGCCAAAAAAAUUUUAAAAAAAAUUACACUUGGCUUAAUGCUAGAUUAAUCCAAUCCAAAACCCGCCUAAUCCAGGAGGCUAUGAUAUUAGUUACUCUUGGUAAGGGUAAUUGGAUACUAUAACACCUUUUAUUGAAAUAUUUUAGUUGCAGCUGGAAGGAUCAUGAAAUUUAUAUGGUGUCAUUUUUUACAAAAUUUCACAUAAAUCUUGCUUUUCGGAAAUGAAUGAAUAUUAGAAGUUAAUAGGAAUGCAUGAACAUGAAACAGCUCCUCUCUUUUUGAAUUAACAAAGGUCUAAGCUCUGCAGGAGAAACUACAGAUAGAGAAAAACUGUUAAAUCAUACACAGCACAGUCUCCGUGAUAUUUCUCAAACCUAUACACUAUUUUCUUUUUCCCUCUUAUUGUAAAACAAGAACUAAAAAAGAAAAAGACAGGUUGCUUCCACCAUUCACUGUACAUGGCAAUGACCCAAGUAUACAUUUUCUCAAAACCCACAUCAUAUAUGCCACCUCUUCUCGCAAUUAAAAGAAAAUGAGGUCUUAAGUGAAGACUAUUAGAAUACCUUCUCAAACUCACUUCUUAGCUCCUGUUGCCAGCACCCAGGCUUUCAUAAAACAAGAUAUACCCGUGAUCUGUAUUACUUGAGAACUCCUGGGCAGAACCAAAAAAUGUCUGAACCGCCGACUCAUCGAUCAUCUCCACGUUUUCAUCAUCAAAAAAUAACCAGUGGUUAUGGCUUUUUACCAGGCUAACAUAGUGGCCAUGGUUGGGUCCACUUCCCACAUGAACAACUACAGCAAAUAAGGAAUACUCUAAAUCUGCAUCUUCCACGGUAUUGCUCAGCUUCAGCUCAAGUGGAAACACAACACGAUAGGAGAGCUUCUUGUAUCGCCCCAGCUGCUCAAUGUACUUGAACCGCUUCAAAUGGAUAACCAGGAUGUGAGGAGGCUUCUUUAUCUUCAUUCUCUUCUGUGCUUCUUGCAAACUGCAAGUAAGCAAGUAUCAUCCAAAAUUAUUCCUUUCUGCAUGUUUAUCCUUAAAAUUACUGUAUGAUAUGCAUCUUUGGAACCAUCUAAAUAUUAUACUUUAAGCUGUGCAUCAAGUUAGAACCUAUUCAUUCAUGAAGACAAAAUGGUUAAGGGCACCAUGCAAGUUCGAUGUUUGAAUCAUCAAGUAAAAGGGAUAAUCAUUGAGGUACUCAUGGUUUGCCUCUUUCUUUAAAUAUAUCUCCUUGAAGUCAAUAUCCAGAAUUGACAUCUUUUACUAACAAAACCCCAACUUUACUAGGCCUUGGCUGGCCAGCCUGAAAAUCUCAAAACAGGAUUACAGGAGUCAAAUUAUAUUUGUUAUCAAUGUAAUUGGUCUACAAGGUGACUCCAAAACCAAGUGAUAAGAAAACAAGUGGUAAUCAAUUAGAAACUAAAACACCUCAAGUCGUGCAAAGAUUACCUAUAAUGGAAAAUUACCUGCAACACUUGUCACAGAAAAAUUUGUCCUCAGCAUUCAAUGUUUCAGUAGAACUAAAAUUUUUCAAACAGCUGGUUAUUGAGCUGUUCUGUUCAAUGUCAAGGCUCAAGUCAAAGAAAGUUUCGUCUCUCGCUGUCACUGUCUCACAUCGCAAGCAUCUUGUCUCAUUGGUAAGUAUUCCCUGUCUCAGAAUUGCCCCAAGAGAUAAUGAGAUUCUUCUUAAAAUAACUUAAUCCAAACAGAAAGAAUCCAUACGUACAAAGAGGCACUCAAAGUCAAAGAGGAUAGAAAAUUUUAUCAUUAAUUAAUUUGACAAUGUAUGGCAUCCAUUAAAAAAUGUAUAGCAUUCCUUUAUAAGCAUUGUCAAAAAAUAAACCAUUAAAGGGGACAAGAUAGACGCAGUCACUGUUUCAUUUGUUGUUAACCAGUAUUAAUUGAUGAUGCAGCCUACAUACAAGGACACAGAUGAGGGUUUAGCUAUGAUGUCCUGAAGCAUUCCCAGAUAGUAUUAUUUGAAUUUACUUCACUUUUCUCUGUUUAUUAGUGCAGAUUAGAUUAAUUUUUCCAUAUAGAUGCUUUCUAGAACUAAUAAAUUCCUACAAUUUUGGUAAUUUUGCUCAGCUUUCAAGUUUCAGAGUAUUCUAUGAUUUGUUUAUGUACUGUAGCAAAGAAAAUAACAAGAUUUCAUCUUUACUUCAUGUCAAGCAUGGUAAAUGCAGUACAAGACUAGGUCUAUUGAUCAGAAUAUAAAAGGAUAAAUAGCAAACACACCUGAAAAUUCUUGUGUACCCAAGUAACCAAAGGCUCUUUUUUAACACCAUUAGCCUGAGGAUUCUUUGGCCCAUUUGCAGUCUUUUCAGAUGGUGAAGAAGUUUCUGCAUCAUUUUUUGCUGCUUGAGCCUCUUUCUCCAGUAUAUCAACAAGUUCAUUUAGCAAAAAGUUCAAGAACUCAUGAGCAUCCUACCAAAACAAAUUGAGACAAAUAAUAUCCUCUUAUGCAUUACAAUUAAAUAUAAUAAAGAAAUUCAAUGUUUUGGUUGACAUGCCAAGAAAAGGUCGUUGGAAUACGCCUUGGAGCAAAUCACAUUAAACAGACAUAUAUCAUCAAUGCUGCAUACUAAUCACUUAUAUGAUGAUUGAUAAAGGUUUUCCUUCAUCAUUAGUAAAAAAAAAAAAAAAAUAGUUAUUAUGUGCUGAUUGGACUCAAUGGAAAAUAAUUGCGUUGAAAAGGAACUAUAAAGAGUUAUAAUUAUAAGAUCCCUAUUUAGCAAAGUUCCUAAAACUGUUCCUAGUCAUUUUAUUAUCAAAACAGGGAAUCACAAUGCUAAAACAGUGGUACUGGGACAUGUUAAGUCUCCUUAGUUAUGAAGCAAGGAAUUGAACACAAAAGUAUGGGGAUGCUUGGGGAUAACUUGGAGGUUCUCGUUACAAGUUUAUUGAACAUGACCAGCUAUCAGAACUCCAUUUGUUAAUGUCAAUCAAACCAUUAUCAUGUGUCAUUUGGUAUAUUCAUGGUCCUUCCAGGAUAUAUAGUGGAAAGACAAAUUAGACCGACAGAUAGGACAGUUAAAGACUUGUUGAGACUAUCAUGACUCUCCAAUAUUUGGGUGGUCAAGAUAAGAUGCCGCUCCCGAUUUUCAAUACAAAAUAUUUGAUCUUAUAUUAUAAUCUAUAGUCCUUGCAAAAUAUUGAAAGCCUAACCAGUCACACAUUAAAUCAUAUUGCCGGAUUAAAAUUAGGAUUCAAAUAAGUACAGUUUUAUCGACCAAAACUUGAAUGCAAAAGGAUUUAAUUAAAUCCUUGACUAGGGUUUUUGGGCAAGGCAUGCGUACAUGCAGCAUACAAACUUUUAAUCAACCUCAACAAAGCUUUCGGUGUUAAUGGACUGUUAUGAACUCUUAAUUACUACAUUAAAGAGAAAAAAUACGAUUCCUAAUACAAUUGCUUAAUCACAUUAUACCUGAAGGAUUUGGCUCUCUCUUUUGUUUAUCAUGCUUUACUUUCUGUGGCAUUCAUGUUUAAAUUGUUUAUUGGUUAAACAUGAGGCUAAAUCCAGCAAAAGUUACUUUACUCUAACCGAAAUCUUAAAACAAGCAAAAAUGAUCAUCAAUUUAGGGAAAGAGAAGGUGCUUAAGUCAAUCAAAUAUAAAACACUCAGCUACCUGGUGCAUAUAGCUGCGAAAAAGCUCAUUUUGUUUCUUCAAUCUUUGUACAAAGCGCUUUGGAGCAAUGACACCUGUUUUCUUCUUCUGUGAACUUAUCUAAACAUAAAGAACAACCAACUGUUGGCUCCAGUAGUAAUCAACUAAAAACCACAUAUGCCACAAGUAGAAUGAGAGAGAGACGGGGACCAAAAGAUACUAGUCAAUUAAUAGCAUUUGCUAAAAAAACAAAAGAUCAUCUGAUAAGAUGGUCUAAGCAAUUUCCUAAAAGGAUAAUACUCUGCAAUUAUUGAAGAAUAAAAUCAAGCCUUUUAAAAAAGAGAUGAAACAAAAAAAGAAAGCAGUUAUGAGGAAGGAACUCUUACACAGGAACAUAAGGCAGACUGUUCUGACUGCAUAAAAUCUGAUACGAUUGACAGAUAAAAAAGACUUAUCUAGUAAUAAAAGGUUUUUAAAAAGGAAAAUCACAAACAUCAUUUCUUCUCAUAUGAAGCCAGGUCCUCAUGCAAAUGUGAUAAGGACUUGCAGUAAUAAGCCAUUUAAAAAAUAAUGAAGAUGACACCCUUGGCCUUCAUACUUCCUAAAUGAUUGUACACGGGAUUAUCAAGUCAAAUAAUAAAGAAGAAAAUUUUCAAAUGAAUCAAAUCAUGUAUCAUUCUUGUAAAUAGUGGUCAAGACUAGAACAGAAAAUGGUAAACAUAAAUAAAACACUAAUGUUAAUAUUUGGUCUGAACAUUUAAAAUAAAUGCUUUGCCGUUUUUCAGAAACUAGUGGUUUCCCAUCUAUAGGGGCGUACAACUCAAUAACACUAUGCUUCUAGUAGAGUUAAUACCUGUGUAAACAGAUCUGCCAAGCAUGUCAGCAGAUUAUCUUCAGCAUCAACACCAUUUUUAUUACUUGAAUAAUAUUCUAGCAGCUGUUCGCGAAAUGGUACACAAAAAUAAAGUGCCUGAAAAUUUUUCAGAAAAUGACAUAAGACGUUGGUCACAGACAAGAGGGCAUUUGUUACCCAGCAAUUUUAAAUAAAAAUAUCCAACAUUGAACGCAUUAACAUAAAUCUUGAUUAGAAAGCAAGGAAUAAACAGAAAUAUCAGAAAAGAACUGAGUCUCAUAGCAUAAACUUAAAAAAAAAAAAAAAAAAAACAUAGGAACUAAAGAGUCUGGCAAUGAACAUAGCUCUUUAACACUACAGUUGCAAUCAUUCAGAAAUGAUUAUUCAAACAAUUCAGAUCUUGCAUUAUCUAGGUCAACCUAUCUACAACAUCUGAAACUUCAAGAUCCAAUAGCUACCGUAGUAUCGUACCAUGCAUUAUCUACAAAUUCACAUAACUUUACGACAAUCACCCAACUUAAAUGAAAGGAGAAUGAAAGAAAUAUUAAAAUUAAGCUUGAAAAUUGAAAUCUAAAUUAUUUUGAUAGUACCGAUGAAUCUUAUAAUCAUUUUUUAAUCACCAACAACAUCCAGUUCCUGUAAUACUUUCCCUUUCUAACAUUAGUUGAUAUCUAUCACAGUCAAUAUCUACCUGGUAUAGACUCUAGACUCCAAACCAUCUCAGCAAGCAUAUCUAAAAUCUAGACAUUUUAAUUUCAAUUUAAAUCGUGACAACCGUACCACUUGAAAGCAAAGCAGCAAGCUAUUACCAGAAGGGGAAAAAAAGAAGCUAAAAAUGAAAAGAUAGAACUGAACCUAACCAAUUCGCUUCAGGAUUAACAUAUACUACGAGAAAUUUGCAUAAAUGAAAUUUAAAGCUUAAAGUCAAAAUCAAUCAAAUUCAAAAGAUAGGAAAUAACAUAUACUAUCAAAUUCAACAUAUUUUUUAGGGAAAAAAGGGGGGAAGAGGAAAAAAAAAAGAAAAAAAAGAACCUGCAAAACGCUGUUACAAUAGCAAGUGUUGCCAAAGUUUUCGAGACCAAAAUAUCGUUCGCCUUCCGGGAACUGGUCACCCAAAGCUUUCUCGAGCUUCGAACCCGCCGCGCCCAUCUAUUAGAUAUAGAAUUGAGUUCGUCUACAACUCUAACUUGGAUCUUCUUCCGACCGGUUCAACUCAGCGAUUCAAUACCCCAUCAACGACUGGCUCUAUCUUGCUCUCUUCGGUUUAUCCGAAUCCGACUUAGGGUUUGUUUGGAGGACAAUUAAAAAAAAAAAGGGUUUCCACCGUUUCCCUAUUUCCGUUAAGAGCAGUGAAAAGGAGCCAAAGAAAAUGAUUCUUGUUUCUGUUCUCGGUAGCAUCUACUUAAAACAUCUUUUUAGAUCAAUUAACGUAAAAAUAGAUAAUAAUAAAAAAUUAUUAUUCUAUCCUUAAUCAUAUAAGAAGGAUAUUGACUAAGAGGUAAAUAAAACUUUAAUUCCACUUUCAAAUUCGAAUUAACUUAAAUUUCAUAAUUCUAAUAAUAUAUUAAUAUAAAUAUCUUUUUAAUCCUCGUAAACUUUGAAAAUAAGUAAAUUGAUCUCACUUAAUAAAAAUUAUAAAAAAUUUUAAAAUUUUAAAAUUUUAAAAAAUUCUAAAAAAUAUAUAAAAAUGUUGAAAUUUAAAUUUUUUUUUCUAAAAUAAUAAAUUUACGAUCUAAGUAAUGAUUCAAAUUUAUCAUAUUCAAAUUUUUUUUAAAAAAAUUUCAAAUAUUUAUAAUUUUAAAUUUAUGUGCUCCAAUAUGAAACUAGUUAUAUUAUAACAAUAUUUUUAAGUUUAAUUUUUUAAAAUUUAACUUGAACAAUUUCGCUCGAUUCGACUCGGCUCUAAUUUUAUUUCACUUGACUCGAUUUGAAAAAAAAUUUAAAAUUGAGCCAAUAUGAUAAAAUAGGACUCAUGAAUUUGAUUAACUCGAAAGUUUUUCACUUAAUUUGACUCCACAGAACGCUCACCCCUAAUAACAAACAUAACUUUUAUCAUUUAACCAAUUCAUUCUAUUUCACCACUAAGAAGAAAAUUUUAUUUUCACAAUUCGAUAACAAAUUUAACAGGUUAUAAGAUACCAACACAAAAUACUUAUGAUGUUUUUAGUUUUUUCUUUUAAUCAUAGUUAUUGAUUUUAACCUUAAUUGUUAAUUUAAAAAUAAUCUCACAAAAUCUCACUAUAUUUCAACUUAAACCUCAACUAUUUUCAAAUUUGGGGGAGACCAUAUUCAAAGUAAAAGGAAAAUCGUAAAUAUAAAGGUGGUCACUCAAAAAUAGCAUUGUUUCUAUUUUGAUCAUUCUAAACUUUUUUUGUCAAUUUAGUCACUACUGCUAGAAAAUUUGACCAAAAUGAUCAUUCAGGCCCUAAACCCUUAACGGAUUGUUGACUAGACCUGCAAAAGAAAAAAGAAAAAUUAUUCUUUUAGUCCCUUUAAAAUUUAUAAAAUUUUUAAGUUAAUCCCUAUUAAAAAACUCAUAUUAAAACCCAAUAUUUACAUCCAAGUCCCUUUUUCUUCUUUGCAUUCUUUACCCUCCUUCAAGCUCUGAAAAUAAUCACCUUAAUUGUAACACUCCUCGGUCGACCCGAUCACCGAAUAUGAGCUACAAGAUGCUACAGUUGUUGCCGAAGCAACCACGGUUGAACAAACGUCAUACAAUCAUUUAUACUUGUAAUCCAAUGCCAACUAAUACAGGAUGCUACAGUUUUUUGUACUUCCGUAUACAUUUCCACAAAAUUGAUCAAUAAGUUAGUUUAUUUAUACAUCAAGAACUACUAAUGCAAAUUACAUAUACUUAAUUUACGAUUUAAUACAGUAAAGCAUGUAAUAUCUAAUUCAUCCUCAAUUUAUAAACACAUAUAAUUAAGUUCUCUUUCAUAUCACAUUCAAUCAUGCUUGUUUUGCAACAUUUUAAUUUAAUUCAUUCACUCUUUCUUUCACAAACAAUUCAUACAUAUAACAACCAGUUUCACAUAUAAUCUUUCUUUUCAUUUCGAAAUCAAUCACUUAUUUUUUUUUGCCUGGAGAACUAUAGGAAAUUUAUUUUGGAUACUCAGGAUAAGAUUGCUUGCACAAGCUGUAAAUCGAGACAUUAACCAUUACUCGAUGCUGCUUACACAAGCUAUCGAGAAUCCGCAAUAAAUGCUAGAUUCUAGCCAUCGGUAUGGUAUCCACCACCGGUACAUAGUACCUGAUAAAUAUAACACACGGGCACACGGUGCCUGGUAUAACAUGAACAUUGGUACAAAGUACCUGAUAAUAUAGUCACCGGUACAUAGUACCUGAUAAAAUAUAAUCACUAACACAUUGUGCUUCAUAAACCCUAAUGACAUGUCAUUUGUAUCCUAGCUAUUCACUAAGUUCACACGGGCCUCUAUAUUCAUAUUCAUUUCAUUCCAAACCUUUGAACAUUUUCAUAUACAUGUAAGUGAACCAUAUACAUUCUCAUAUUCAUUUACAUUUAUCAGCUUUAUCUCAUUUCACAAUUUAAUCAUUUCAAUAUCGAAGUCGUUAUUUUGCAACAACUUAAUUACAAUUAGUAUACAUACAACUCAACAUAAACAAUAAUUAAUUGAAAUAAACAUCGUACAUAUAUCAUAGAAUUAUAUAACAAUUUCACAAUCAUCCAAUCACACACAUCCAUUCAUUUUAUCAUAUAUUCAUUAUUUUUAUAUUUAAUCCAUUUGAUGCCAAAGCUUUAUAUAUAUAUAAUUUCUAACUAACAGUAAUAUAAAAUAACAUAAUCAUAUCAAAUUUUAAUAAAUUAAGUCCAUAUGAAUUUACUUGACCAAUACAGCCUCAAACAUGACUCCAAAGACUAUUUUGAAAUUUUUCUUUUUUUGCAUUUAUAUACCAGUUGGUUCAAAUCCUGAUCUAUAAUAUAAUUAAUUCAAUUUAUCAAUUUCAUACAUCUGAAAGCAACCUCUAUAAUAAUAUAAUAAUUCAAUUUCAUUUUUUAAUUUUCCCUAAAAAUUUUUAUUUUAUUCAAUUUAGUCCCUAAAACUAAAAUAGUUAUAUCUUUUAAGUUCAAGCUUCGAUUUUCAAUCUGAUUUCAAUUUCAUUCAUGUACAGCUCUCUAAAUUCAAUAAUUACAAAAAUUUCAUGUCAAUUUCAAAAUAUUUACAUUUUAGUCCCUAAACUCAAAAUUAACAAAUUCUACUUUUCCUAUUUUAUUUCUAAGCUUCAAAUUCUACCAUUUAAUAUAUAUAUAUAAACAAGAUUCAUCAAUAGAAACUUCUAAAACAUUUGAAAAUUGUAUGAAUUAGUCCCUGAGCUAGCUAGAUUGAGCUACAACGAUCUUAAAAGCAUGAAAUUUACGAAAAAUGAGCUUAAUUUUACAUACCAUGCACAUGGCCGAAAGAUUGAAGUUAAAACUUGAGCUUUUCCUUGUUUAUGUCGUGAAGAAGAAGAUGAUAAUAAAGAAAAAGAAAUAUGAAUAGCCAUAUAUUCUUUCUUUCCACUACAUAUUAGUUUUAUUUUUAUUUUAUUUUAUUUUAAUAUCAAUUUAACAUAUUUUUCUAAUUAAAAGUAACUUUAACCGUCCAAAACCAUUAAAAAAUUUUAAUUAUCCUAUAGGCCUUUUCAUAUUUAUUAUUUAAGCUUCUAGCUAAAAAAAUUUUAAUAGUGAUUAACUUUUGUGGUUUUUAUGAUUUACUCCUUGUACCUUAAUAUAACCUAUAUAACAACUCUGUAAUUUUAUGGAAAUGAGGUCUCGAUACCUCAUUUUCCAAAACCAUUUAACUUUAGAGUCAACCACUUGUACUUAGGUAACUGUUCAAUUAGCAAAAUUUAUCAAAUAAAAAUUCAAUUAAACACAUAGUAAAUUCGUAAAUAUUAUUAAAUAAUAUUUACUAACUCGAUCAUCGAAAUACAGAGUUCCAAAACUGCCAUGUUCAGUUCCACUGAAAAAAGGGUUGGUACACGACGCGACUCAUUGUCGACCAACGUUGCGACGAAGACCCUGUUUUUGGUAAAAAAAAAUGAACCAUUUGGUACCUAUUUCAAUGUUUUCAAACAAACUUACAUCAUAAUUACCUAAUGCCAAACUCAAUUAAUCCAGAAUAUGCAAAACCAUACCAAUUAAGUUAAAUACUCAGUUCAACUUCUUAACAAUAUGUUCACAAUAUUUAUACCAACUAAACUUAAGAAUUUCAAUGCAAUUCGAGUAUACCAACCUAAUUCAUUCAAAUGCCUAACCUUACCUAUACCAAAUCUAUCAAAACUUGCCGUUUCACUUGUAAUACAUACAUAAUUCAUUCACCAACAUUUUAUACCAUCAACCAUGAACCAAAAUAACCAUUUAUCAACAUAUACCUCAAGAAAAAUCAUUAUAUAUACCAUUUCAAUACUUACAUCAACUUAACCAUUCAUUUACCUCAUACCACAAUCUUCUACAUGCUAGGUUAAAAUAGAUACAUCUAUAUUACCUCUCUAAAAACAUUAAUCAUUUCCAAUUCAAGUAUUAACCAAAUCAUUAGACAUGAGCAUUAUUCAAAAUCAUCAUAUGCAUCACAAUCAUGACAAGUACCAACACUAUUAAGACUUUCAACACUAAAGUGUAUACCAAACACUUAUAUACAUCGAAAUAACCUCAAGACACCUUAUAAUUAUACAUGCCACAACCUAAGACUCAAAACGAUCGAAAAGCUAGCAAUUCGGUGAUAGGAUAGUGUGAGCUUCAAGAUGAUCCGACUUGACAUGUUCCACAAUUAUUUUAUCAGAGCUCAUUGAAUUGCGGGCUUUGGUGCAACAUGUAGAGUAGCUCCCACCACUCGCUGGAUAGCUUUCGCUAUAACGCAGAGUAAAUCUUCAUUUCCCCAACCCUCAGGUCAAGGUCUAGCAGUUCUAAACUGAUGACCACAGAUUGGAUCAAUGCUUGGUGCCUUAAUCCCAAUUCUAUUUUCACUUUUAGCUAAAAGGCUACUUUUAUAAACAUUGCCACUAGCAUCAUUUCUUAAUUCCUCUAACAUCUUUAGUUAUAAAAUAGAGAAAUUUUAUAAUCAACAUCUAAAUCCUAACUCAAACUCAACUUGAUUUUGGCAUGUACCUUUAGACUCAAUUUUGAGCUCGAUUUAGUUAGAGAAUCGACUAAGCCUAAAGCUUUAAUUCCACUAAAUAUAACACCUUGAUACCUAACCCGAUCAUCGAAUCCGAGUUACAAGGUAUCACAUUAAUGUGUUGGAUCUAAUGCCCUAAGUGUAGUAUUUUCAUCUAUGUACACUUGUAAUUUUUUUGAAUAGAUUAGUUAAUAAAAUAAUUCAUGGAUUACAUUAAUAUACUUUGUAUAUUGUCCUCAAGUGAGUUUUGCAUUGAGAGCAAAAUAGAAGAAAAUAUUAGCUCAUUGGUUGUCGAAUGUUUAACUAAUACUAAGAAGUAUUACGUAGUCAGAUGGAAAUAUGGAAAGACGACUAAUAUUAUUAGGCAAACUAUAACAGCCCGAUUUUGAGCCCAAUCGAAACAAUGGUUUCAGAAGCACUAACUCGAGGUCAGAGAAAUUAUUUUUAAUAUGAUUUUAUGUUAUAGCAUGUUUAUAUAAGUACAUGAAAAUUUUGGUGAAAUAAUUCUAGCGAUUGCAUGCUUAAUUGCGAAAAAAGACUAAAUCGCAUAAAGAGCAAAAGUUUUGUUUUUCUAGAAAAUGGUGUUAAAUAGCCAGAGAGUCAUAAUUAGGGGUCUUUAAAUGGAAAUUAGACUCAUUUCAAUAGGGGUGGUUAGCCAUAGGGACAAAGAUGAAUAAAAAAAUAAAAUCUGGUGGAGUUGGUAGCCUAUUUUGACUAGAAAAUGAGAUUAAAUAAAACAAAAGACUUCAUCUUUUUCAUCCCUUCUUUCACCACCAAAAAUUUCAGCCAUUUUAAGGGUUUUUAAGCUUCAAAAUUUCAGCCACUCUUUACCCUUACAAGUAAGUGAUUUUGAUGGCCUUUCUUAAUAGUUUUUGUACUUUUGGGACCCUUGUAGCAUAAUCUAGCUACUGAGUAGACUAUUUUGCAAAAUGGUUGAAAGUUUAGGGUUUUUCCAUGAGAUUUUUCAUGUUUUUUCUGAAUUUUUAAGGAAGAAAAUGAAUCAUGGUUGUUAAACAAACAACUCUUGUGAAGUAGUUUUCAUGAAAACCCUAACUAAGGACCAUUUUGCAUAAGUUAUAAAUUAUGGGGUAAAUGUGUGAAAUGAUAGGAAUUUUGGGCUGAUUCUAAUAUAAAAAGAAUUUGGCUAGGCUUGGUUAGUGAUAAAAAUUGAUAUACGAGUCUAGGGGUAAAAUCGUAAUUUUAUGAAAGUCUAAGGGCAAAAUGGUCAUUUUGCCAAAAUAUGAUUUAUGAAAUGCAUUAACUAACAUGAUGAUUAAAUUAGUGAAUUUUUAUCAUUUUAGAUCAACAAAUACAAAAUCCAGACCUAGACCGGGGAAAGGCAACUAGUAGACUAAAGCCAAUUAAUCGUCCACUUUUUGUAUACCGAGGUAAGUUGUAUAUAAGUAAGGUAACUUUAUCGUUAUUAUGUGAUGGAUGAUUUAUUUUUGCAUAAUAUGGUUGAAUAUGAUUAUGAAUAAUGCAUGAUGAAAUUAAUGCGGUAAAUUCCUGGUUGAACCUAGGAAUAGAUUGGAUAUCCAUGCCAUGAUAUUUGGGUGAUAUGUGUGCCAGUGUAAGACCUUGUCUGGGACAUGACAUCGGCCAUGAUAUGAGAGCCAGUUAAGACCAUGUUUGGAACAUGGCAUCGGUGAUGUUGUGAGAGCCGGUGUAAGACCAUGUCUGGGACAUGGCAUCGACAUUGAUAUAUGCGCUAGUGUAAGACCAUGUCUGGGACAUGGCAUCAGCCACAUUAUGAGAGCCAAUGUAAGGCCAUGUCUAGGACAUGACAUCGACAUUGAGACGAGAGCUAGUGUAAGACCAUGUCUAGGACAUGGUAUCAGCCAUGAUAUGAGAGCCAUUGUAAGACCAUGUUUGGAACAUGGUAUCGGCGAUGUUGUGAGAGCCAGUGUAAGACCAUGUCUAGGACAUGGCAUCAGCAUUGAUAUGUGCGCUAGUGUAAGACCAUGUCUGGGACAUGGCAUCAGACACAUUAUGAGAGCCAGUGUAAGACCAUGUUUGGGACAUGGCAUCAAUAUUGAGACGAGAGCUAGUGUAAGACCAUGUCUGGGACAUGGCAUCGGCCUCGACAUGUGAGCCAGUGUAAGACCAUGUUUGGAACAUGGCAUCAGCAAUUUACCCUAUUGUGUAAAGUUUGUCAGAUAUCCUUUAGUAUUCCAAAUGGUUUCACGAGUUAUUUUAAAAGCUUAUGACAAUGAUAUGGAAUGAUAUAAUUACAUUGUGAGUUGUACAGGUUCUUAUUCAAAACUCAUUGUAACAUCCCAAAAUAGGGCCUGGUCAGAAUAGUGAUUUCGGGACCACAAAUUCGACAUCAAAAAUAUUUAUUUUAUGACGAUUAUGAAGCCUAGAAUAUGAGUAUAUGCAUGUGUUAAAGUUUUAUGAAGAGAUUUUAAGUAUAAGGUGUCCAAUUGGAAAUUAGGGACUAAAUUGAAUAAAUUGCAAAACUUAGAUUCUAGAAGAAAUUUGUAUGAAAUUGCUAUAGAUUAUGAAUUAGAAGGUCUUGGAGAUCAAUUUUCCCAAAUUAUAAAUUUUUGGACAAAAAUGGGCUUGCAUGGAUGAAAUUUUAAAGAAAGGGCAUUAGGGCAUUUUGGUCAUUUGUCAUUUUAGUGAAAUAAAAAGGGAAAAAUGGAGCAAAAAUAUGCUCAUCUUCUUCCCAUAGCUUCCAGAAUUUGGAGGACACCAUAGCUAGGGUUUUUUCAAUUUUCAAGCUUAAUAAUAAGUGCUCCCAAGCCCCAUUUUUCACGUUCUUUGCAUUUUUGAAAUCCCAGUAGCUUGCUUUCUCCAUUUCUACCCAUAUUUCAUGCUAGGUUUCAUGUUCAAAAAUUUAACCAUGCAUGAGUUAUUAAUAUUUUGAUGGAUUAUGGAGGAAUAUGAAAGAUAAAUGUGUGUUAAACAUCUUUUCCAAGUUGGUUUUCAUGAGAAACCCUUAUAGGGACUAUUUUGCAAAAAAUGUAAAUGUGUGGUAGAAAUGAGGAAAAUAAUGAAAAACGUGGGUUGCCAUAAGAGAGAAAAAUUUUCGGUUAAGCUUGGGAAGAUAGAAAUUGCAUGUGUUUCAUUAUACGAGCCUAAAGACUAAAUAGUAAAAAUGUCAAAGGUUAGGGGCAAAACAGUCAUUUGGACCGGGGUAGAUAUUAAACUUGAAAUGUAUAAUGUGGGGUAUUAAUGAGCUAAUUUUGGUGUUAUAGACCCCAAGGAACAAAAUUCGGAAGCCGAUCGAGGUAAACGCAAGGUUUCGGAAUAACCGAAACAUAACUCUAAAACUGUUACCAAGUAAGUUCGGAUAACUUAAAGUAAACCCCUAAUAUGUAUAAUUGAAUGAUUUAUGAAUGCAUGAUGAUUGAAUUUAUUAUUAGCAUGAAAUAUCAUGGAAAUGUAUAUUUGAUGGUAUAUUGUGAAAAAUGUCUCGGAUAAGGUUGACAAAGGGAAUUCAAUGGAUAAACCCUCAUUGAUAUGUGUAAAGAGAUCCUGCAUGUGUUGCAGUAAGGAUUUAUCUCGGACGGGUAAUCCAUGAUCUCGAGUAUGGAAAGGAUCUAGCCCAGACGAGUGUUCCUUGAAUGAUCGAGCCUUCCAAAGAAUAUAUGUGCAUUGAGGAUUUAGCCCGGAUGGGUAAUCCUAUUAGGGUCUGAAUUUAGCCUGGACUGGUAAUUCAGAUCCGAGUUCAUUAAGGGUGUUUGUCGCUAUAAGGGAUUUAGCCUGGACUAGUAAUCUCGACAUCACCUUAUGAGUUCAUGAUAUGUGGGAUUUAGCCUGGACUGGUAAUCCUGACAUAUAAUGUGAGGUUCGCGGGAGUGCAUAUAUGGAAAGAUCAUUUGAAUGAAUUGGCGGAUAAAGGGUAUUCCAUCAAGAUUUCCUAGAAACUCAAAGAGAUUAAUGUAGGAUACAUGUAUGAAUAAAUGUUGAAUGAUGAGCUCAUCUAGUUAAAUUACAUGAUACAUGAUUAUGUGACUAACUCAUUGAUUGAGUGCAUGUGAUAGGAAAUCAUUUCAUGUUGGAUGAUUUCAUAAUUUAAGUAUGGAUGUAUGCUAAUUACUCGGUAAGUUUACUCUUCGGUUAUUCGAGCUUACUAAGCAUGAAAAUGCUUACCCCUCUCUUUUCCCUGUUUUACAAAGCUCGAGGACUCAUAAGGAUUGGAGGAAAAUUAGAGAGUCAACACACUAUCAACUAAACAAGCUUUGGUAUAAAGACUCUGUUUAUUUUGUUCAAUGGCAUGUAUAGUAUUUUUGAGUAUUUUAUUAUGUGUCAUUUGAUUUGCCCGGUAAAGGCAUGUAAAAUAUAUGUUUAUCUCUUUGUAUAUGGCCAUGAAAAUUAGCUUAAUUUAAGUAGGCUAUGACCUAUGAUUUUAUGCAUGGUUUUAAUUACAAAUGAUGGGUUGCUAUCAAUUGGUAAUGAAUCACAUGAAUGAGCCAAUUUCAGAUGGAUUAAUGUAAUAUGGGAACCCAUGACACUAAAUAGGGAAUAACCAUUUAUGUAUGAAACCAAUGAUAUGAUGUUUCCAUACAUCUAUUUUCAUUAAGAUUAUUUACAAGCGUAAAAUUAUGUUUUUCUUUAAAACUUGGUAACAACUAGGCAUUAGUAGUAGAAAGGGGUGACUAAAAGCUUGGAAAAUAGCCUAAUAAAGUCCACAUGGUUGGACACACGGGCGUGUGUCAAGGCCGUGUGUGACACACGAUUCCCUUCCGUGGGCGUGUGUUAUGGCCGUGUGUCCCUUGCACUUAAAAUUUUAGCUCAAAGUUGUACACGGGUAGGCCACACGGGUGUGCACCAUGACCGUGUUAAAAUGACAGUUUCAUCCACAGGCAGGCAGCAAAAGUGUGUUCCAUGGCCAUGUUGAUAAGUCAGUAUUGCCCACGGCUGAAGGGCAUGGGCGUGCCCCAAGAUACACGGGCGUGUGAGUCCACACGGCCCACCUAUAUGGGCGUGUGUCCCUUUGUGUUAAGGAAAAUUUUUUGAGGAGCCCAAGGUUAAUCGAACAUGGCCGUAUUCGUCCCGCAUUGCCUUCCGAUAUGUUAUAGAUCUCGAAGGCCUAUACAAGGGACAAGGUGUUCAUGAUUGAAAAGUUUUAAAUUCAAAUGAAAUUUUGUGACCCGAGUUAGUAUACUGAAAGUGUAAAGUUCCGGUAAUGCAUCGAGCCCUGUCCCAGUAUUGGAUACGGGUUAGGGGUGUUACACUCAUGAGAUAUGAGUUUAGUUAUGUUGCCUUAAUGGUAAGAAUGACAUGAGUAAGUUCUAACUAUGAAAAUGAUCUUGGGACGACAUUGAAAUCUUUGGUUUAUACUUGUGAUAUACAUAAGCGUGUAGUGAUAUUUACCCAUGUUCACUCAAGAAUGUUAUGUUGAUUUAUAAUAUGCAUGGUUGAUGUUGUUUCUUAUUUAUAUGUGACUUACUAAGCUUUAUGCUUACUCUUUCUCCUUUCCAUUUUCUUAUAGUACCACCAAGCUAGUAUCGGGGAUCAAGGGACAUCGAAGGAUCGAUCACACUAUCACCUGAAGCUUUGGUAUAGCUAGUUUAAUAUUUUGAUUUUGGCAUGUAUAGGGACUUGAAUCUUUUGUUUAGUGUCUUGUUAGUUUAGCCAAAAAAGUUGGCUUAUAUGAUGGAUGUGAUAUUCAUUUUGUAUAGGCCAUUAAUGUUGGCUAAUAUUGAUUAUUGUUAAAUGCAUUUGAUGCAAAUUUCUCAUGGUUGUGGUUGAUUUGAUUAUAUGUGUUAGGCUUGGAUUGGUUUUGGUUGAUAUUGUGUAGGUUGAUGUAAGUAAGGGUGGCAAAAAGGCUUGGUAAAUAGCCUUAUUUUUGUCCAUACGGGAAGACACACGAGUGUGUGUCUAGGCAAUGUGUGACACACGGUCUGCCCCACAGGCGUGUAGUCCAGCCGUAUGUCCCCUGCACCUCAAUUUUACAAGUCAGUAUGCAUGGUAGUAAACACAUGGCUAGAGACAUGGCCGUGUGUCUCAGCCAUAUAGAGGACACGGCCUAACACACGGGCGUGUGUCUUGGGCGUGUGCUCUUAAUUGGUUGAUGAUGUCAGAAACAGAAUAUCAAGGUUUUUGUACACGGACUGAGGCACGGGCGUGUCAUAACCGUGUGAGGGACAUGGGCCAUGGACAUGAGUGUGUGCCAGGCCGUGUGAAAACCCCUAUAGGUUCAAAUCAAAAAAUAAAUUCACACCGGCUAGGGACACGGACGUGUGAGCUACAUGGGCCUUCAGCACGAUCAUGUUAAGACUACACACGGGCGUGUGCCCUGUUUACCUUGAAAUUUUUCAAAGUUUUUUAAAGUACUCAGUUAAGUCCCAAAUCUUUUUCAAAGCGUGUUUUGGGCCUCGUGGGCUUGUAUUAGGGACUUUAUAUUCGGUUUUCAAAAAGUUUUAAUUUGGACAAAAAUUUAUGGCACAAAAAUGUUUGUAAGCAUGUGUUUAUGUACAGUAACACCUUAUAUCCUGUUCCGGCAUUAAACUCGGGUAAGGGGUGUUACAUUUAGUAUUAUUAGAGUUAUGAUUUAGUCAAUUCUCAGACUAACCUAGCAUGAGUACGAGUCUAGCUAUACAUGCCAUAAAUAUAUUGUGAUAGUGUGACGACUUCUGACAAAUUUAAAUUGUCUUUUCAUAUAGUAAAUGAAUCCUGACGGAGCUAUGGUGGAUGAUGUGGAAAGUGAUGCAUCGACUCCCGCUUAAGGUACCGAGCCAAUCGAAAGUAGGCCCGUGACAUUGAGUCAGGGCGGAGGGGCUAGUGAAGCCUACCUUCAUAUGAUGGAUCUUGGUACUCGGAGUUCGUUCGUGCAAAUCCGAACACUCUAUCUCCCUCACCUCCUUAGAUUCCUCAGCCUGCCCAUAUGGCUCCACAAGAAGUAAAAAUGUUAGAAGAGAAAAACCUUCGGUAGAUAGAAUUAGUAAGCAUGGGGUCGAGGAAUUUCGGGCUAAAAUUGAUGAUGACCAAAGGAGAGCAGAAUUCUGGUUGGCAAAUACCAUUACGGUAUUUGAUGAAUUUUCUUGCACCUUUGAGGAGUGCAUAAAGUGUGUUGUGUCACUCCUACGAGAUUCGGCCUACCAAUGGUGGAACACCCUUGUGUCGGUUGUACCAAAGGAAAGGAUUAUGUAACGCCCCAAUUUUCGGGAAUUCUGUGAAUGUUGGCAAAAUUUCAUGCUUUGAUUUUGUCAUUUGUGAGUGAAAUUAUGAAAUAGGACCUAUGUGAAAAUGUUUGAAAAUGCUAUAGGCUAAUUUGUAGUGGCCAAAUAAAUAGGAGUGCAAAAUAGGAGGAUUUGCAUGACAAACCUCCCAUUUUACAUGAAGUGGCCAGUCAUCAUGUUGUUGUAGACAAUAUGAGCACUUGAUAUCCAUAAUUCAUAGUACAAAUUGAUAAUGGGUUAGGUAAAUGUUCCAUGACAAUGGAUUAGGUAAAUAUUCCAUGAUAAUGGGUUAGGUAAAUGUUCCAUGAUAAUGGUUUAGGUAAAUGUUCCAUGAUGGGCAUUUCAUGUCUUUUGUAUUAAAGAAUUAAAUGGAUGAAAUAUGAAAUUUUAUUAAAAGAAAAAGGGGUGAAAAGAACAAAGUUUUGUCCAUCUUUGUUCAUCAUAGCCUAAAGUUAGAGAAGAGAAAGGAGAUGAGAAAGCUCUUGAGUGUUCGGUCACUUGGGGAAGAAAAUUGAAGGUAAGUUCAUGGUAGUUUGCUUCUAUCUUGAUGUUCAUGAGUUCUUCUUGAUUCUACCUUAACUCUUGAAGCAUAUUUUGGUUUUUAGUUGUGUUGUGAGCAUUUAGUCAUGAAUUAAAAUGAAGGAAAUGGUUGUUGUUUCAAGUUCUUUUGAUGAAAAAUGGAAGAUAGGUGAAGUUGAGCCAAACAAAUGAGCAUGCAUGUGCCUUAGAUGCUAAGGGGAAAAAAUCGGCUAACAUGUUGUGCUUUAAAAUGAUGAAAUGGAGAUUAUACUUAAGUAAAAUCAUAGAUAUGUGAUGAUUGAUUGGUGAUAUACAUGUUUAAAUAACAAGCAUGCAAGUUAGGUGUGAAAGAGUGAUUUCGUAAUAAAUCUGCUUGGGACAGCAGCAGUAACGUGACUUUGGAAAAUCACCAUAAAUUCUGGGAGAUGAAUUAGAAGCUGAAUAAAUUAUGUAAUUAAAGCUUAUUGAGUCUAGUUUCAAAUUAAAUAAACAAGAACAUAUUUUGAAUUCUGUACAAUGAGAAAUUUGAUUCGUAAUGAAGAGAGGUCAGAUUAGUCAAACAGUGAAACAUGGGAAACUUUGAGAAAAAUCUGGUAUUGAUUGGCUAAACCAAAAAUUCUGAAAAUUUUAUGGAUAGAAUAUAUACGAGUCUAUUUUCAGGGAAAAUUAACGGAACUUGAUUUGGAGUUUCGUAGCUCCAGUUAUAAAUGAUUUAGUGACUGUUGCUCAGGAAGACAGCUUGCUGUGAAAUUAUGAUUAUGUGGUAAACACUGACAAAAAUUUGUUAAUGAGUUGCUUAUUGAUUUCUUAUAAGCUUACUCUGAUCUAUAGGUGUGGUUGGCUGAAUAUUGUAAGGGUUUAAUACGUAGUUCGUAUUUGAAUAGUUAGAUUAACGUGUUAGUAAUCCAAUUGUAGGCGGUUCGUGUGUGGAUCUCGUCAGCAUAUCGUCGCAAACAGGUGUGUAACUGACACCCUCUCAUAGACUAGAUUGGCAAAAGCCGAAAAGCCGAAAUGCCGAAAAUUCGGUAUUUUGGGAAUUUACGAGUGUGCGAAUGCUCAUAAGAUAGUUGGGUUUGUAUAUUUGGUAAUCUAAAGUAAUAAACUGCAGUACGCGUGAUUUCGUACAUUUUGAUAAUUUGGGCUUAAUGGGCCAAAGAUCGGGUUCAUGGGCCAAUGGGCCCAAUUCGGUAAGUAUGCGCGGUAAGUGUUCUGAUAGUACGUAAAUAGUUAGGAUAUGCAUGAAAACCCUAAAAGCAGCUAAAUUACUAUAAUACCCUUAUGUAUGGAAAAUUACUGUUAUACCCCUAGGUGCAAAAUUACCGUUAUACCCCUAGGGUUAAUUUUGACUGAAAAGCAUGACGAUCUGAUUCUGUAUGAUGUAUUCCAUGAUUAUAUAUCUGUUGCAUGGGGACAUGGGUUAUAUUAUGGAGGAAGCGUCCUGGUGGCUAUGCCACAAUUAUCUGAUCUGGUGGCUUUGCCACUUAUAUUUGUUCUGGUGGCUAUGCCACGGUUAUUUGAUCUGGUGGCUCUGCCACAUAUAUCUGUUCUGGUGGCUCUGCCACAAUAUCUGUAUCUGGUGGCUCUACCACAAUAUCUGUAUCUGGUGACUUCGUCACAAUAUCUGGCAGCCUCACUGCGAUUUCUGUGGUGUGUAGCGGUUGGGUGGGUCGAGUAGUUUCCCCACAUGGUGUAAGGCUGGUACGGGGGUGUUAUGGAUGAAUCUGGGUUGGGUUUCUGCAUAAACAUGUAAUAUCUAUUCUGUUCUAUUAUGGGCCUAUGGGCUUUAUUCUGAAUUCUAUUCUGGGCUAAGGCCAACUUAUUCUAUUUCUAUGGUUUGAGCUGAUAUAGGCUAUGGUUGGGUUAAUUUACACACUGAGUUUCCCCGAACUCACCCCUUUUAUUUUCAUCCACACAGGUAAUCCCCAACCAUAGUGGGCUUGGAGCUGUGAGGGAAUUCGGAGUGGCCACCCGUUCUGAAAGUUUGAUUUUCUUCUGGUGAACUGGACAUCCUUUUAUUUACGUUUGAAGUUUUGGGUUUUUAAAUGUAAUAAGGCCGCUUAAUUAUUUUUGAUGGUUUUAAUAUGUAUUACUAAGAUAGGUAUUACUUAUUUUAACUGUUGAAAUUGGAUAGCUUUAGGGUGCGUUUUCAAAAAUAACAAUUGAUUUCAAAAUAACACGACAACAAGCAAAGCUUCCGCAAUGAAAGUAUUUUCCAAAAUUAAUCACUUUUCCUAAAAAUGACAUAAUCAAAUCGGUUUCCUAGAAAUAUCCAUGACGUUAAGGUGUGGCAAUGGCGG
rnacentral:lncRNA from 1 species